rnacentral:lncRNA from 1 species
UUUUUCUAAAUUUCAUUUAAAUCUUGAUGAUUGCAAUUCUUUUAACAUGUGCAUAAAAAAAAUAGUGAGUGAAAAAGGAACUUGAUGAUCGCAUUAUUUAGAAAAUAAUAUGUUGUUAAGUUUAUGUGUGGAAGCUUGCAUCUCCGAUUCUUCUGUAAAACAACACUGCGUUAAUAUCAUCAUAAAUCCUCAACGCUGAAUUUUCUAUUACAUAAAAAGUGAAAUUAGAAUUAGAUCUUGAACAAUAUUAAAAAUUUAGUUAAGAAUAUGAGUUUUUGACAACACUACAAAUUCAACCAGAAUCUAAACUUGUUUCAGAUUUCGAUUAUGUUUAUUCUUACUUUUUCUGCUCUAAUGUUUUCUUAAAAAAAUUAUUUAAUAUAUUUCGCAUAUUAAUUUUAUUAACUUGUGUUAAUUUAGACGAUAUUUUGGUGCUUAAUGCGAAGAUAGAUAAUAAAACUAUUUCUUUUAAGAAACGAUAUCGUUUUGUUUCUUGAAAAAAAAAAAAAAACAGGAAAGGUAGGCUCCUAAAAUUAUUUUAUAACAGAUAUUAAAAUAUUAUAAAUUAGGGACGAUAAUUGUGGACAUUUAAUAAGUUCGGGGUAGAUUACACGUUUAAUUAUAGUUUUCCCUGUUUAAUUAUCAUUGUCAUCUGGUAAUUUUAUCAUUUACAUUUUUUCACAAUUUGUUAUAUAACUUUUUUAAUUUUAUAAGUUUUAAGAAUAUUUAAAUGCCAAGGAAAAAAUGUUUAAGAUACAUCUUAAUAAAAAAACUAUGGAAUGACUUUCUUAGAAUGAAUUGAUAUAGUAUGAUGGGAGUCUUAACAUAAAAUUUAUUAUUUUAGACAAGGCUCAAUCUCUUAACAAUAAAAUAAAAUAUUUUAAUAUGAAAAUGUGUUUUUUUAUAAGAUUUAUUUUAAAAUAAUAUUUAUAAAUAUAUAAUGUGAGUUAUUUAAAAGACACGUGAUAGUGAUAUUCGUUUAAAAUAGAAUAAGACUGAAUAUUUUAAUAACAUGUUUAUAUAAUGAUUAUUUGUUAUGUUUCAAUUCAAAAAUUUUAUAAGUAGAUCAAAGACAAUAUGUUAGAUGAAAUGGUUAAAUUUAGUAUUUUUAACCAUAACAUACAAAUAAUUACAUUUAAGAAUGUAAAUAAAGUAUUGUUUAGAGUAUCAAGUCAUAUAAUAUAUAGUAUAAGUUUAGAAAAGAAUGCAUAUGGUUUAUUUUGGAAUAAAAAGAAUGUAAGUUUUUUUUUUUUGGUUAUAUGACUAAUAUUUUUUUAAUUAUAUGACUGAGAAAAAAUAUUUAAUAUUAUUCUUCAUAAUCUAUGAAAGAAGGGACAAUUGUAAAAGUUAAAAUAAAAUCCUGAAUUAAGAGCUCUUUGUUAAUGUUAAACAAAUUUAGAGUAAUAACAUGCAUUAGACAAUAUUCAAUACACCAAUAUAAUAAUAUUUAUCCUUAUAAAAUUUUUAAUUUUGUCUUCUAGAAAAUACCCUAAAUAUCUUGCAAUACAAUAAUUAUCUUUUUCGAAAAUUCAAUAUACGAGAAAAUACACUAAUAACACAAUUUAAAAGUUUUUAUUUCGUAAUAAAGCUUUGUUAAAAAAGUAUCUUAUUAUCUUUUCAGUUAAAGCUUCGUCUUAACCUUUCAUACUUAUCAUAUAAUACCGUCUUCUUUUAUCUAUUUGGAAGUAUAUAAAAACUUGAAAAUGAUCUUGUUUAAAAAAAUCUUCAAAAGUUACUAAAAGAAAAGUGAAAAACAAAAUAAAAUAAAGUAUUAGGCCAAGAGUGAUUAUAAAUAAUUAUGCAAAUUAUGUAUUAACAAAACCUGGAAAUGCCCAUGCCCAUAUGUAGUUUCAUUCAUCGAAAUAAAUUAAUAUAAAAAUGAUGUGUUGUUAAAAUAUCCUCUCAAACACAAUUCAACUUCUUUUUAUCAUAUGUUAUAGGACUAAAUUAUUUUAAUAAAACAUUUUUUAUUUGAAUAUGAAGGAAAAAGUAGUUGUACAGGUAUAAAAUUAUUCUAUCAUGAAUAAUGGUAAGAUAAUACUAUUACAUUUAUUACAAGAUGAAAUAACUAUAAAAUUGUGAACUUUUAAAUUUUUAAAAAGAAAAAGAAAAGUAAAAAAUAAAGAAAAAUAAUAUUAAAUUAAAUAUAAAAAAAUUGUGUAUGUCAAAGUUGAUAUUUUAUCAUAAUAAGAAAUUAAGGAUGAAGAGCCAAAUAUGAAAAUAUAUAAAAUGUACAUCAUGGUAUAAAUCAUAAUAAGUAAUUAGGAAUGAUAAUAUAUUGGAAUAUUUAUCCGUUAAUCCAUAACCAAAAAAAAAUAUACUUGUUACCUAUCUUGUCUAUUAUCAAUUUAAAAAAAUAUAUUUAUAUCUAUUUUAAAUUUUUCGUAUACUUGUACUCAUAAAUAUUUUAAAAAAAAUAUUUUAAAAAAUUUUAAAAUAAAAUCUAAAUAAAAUUAAUAAAAAAACAAAAUAAAUAUAAAUAUAAAUAUAUAUUAAUUUUAAUUUUAAUUAAAUUAAAUUUAAUAAAAUAUAAAUUAAAUUUUUAUUAAUUUUUUAUAAAUAAUUAAUAUAUAGAUACAAAUAAUAUAAUAUCUAUAUCUAAUAAACAAGAUUUAAAUUAUUCACUAAUCAUGAAUAAUAAAUAUUCUAACCUAUAUUAACUAGUCGUCACUAAUUCUAUUAUUGAAUUUUGGACAAAUAAUUUUGCCAUCUUUAUCCUUGAUAAACAUUAUUGAGUUAUAGUUUAAUUAGUUUACAUUUUUAUAUAAUAUUUGACGUAUAAUUAUGUGAUUGAUUGAAAAUUAAUUCACAAUCAUAAUAAUUAUAUACUGUUACAAACCAAUUACAAUAUCACAUAUUAAAAUAUGGAAAAAGUCUUUUAAUAACUUUUUUGAUAAUUUUUUAUAACGUAUACAUGACAGUUUGUGAUUGGUCUGUUUUAAAUAUUUUUUUAGAAUAAAUUCAAACAUAUCAAUAAAAUUAUGGCAUUUGUUUCCUUGUAAAAAAAUAUUAAAAAAAAGUUGUUAAAAUAUUAUUUUCCUUAAAUAUUAUAAAAAAGUUAUAUGAUAUCAUUAUCUUUAGGAAAAUAGUGGAAACCAUUAUUGAGUUAUCGUUUGAUUAAUUUAAAAAAUAGUUGAAAAUAAUAAUAAUAAAAAAAAGAGCAUUAAUUGUUUUACCUGGAUUGAAGGUUGAUGAAUAGUCAAAGGAACAUGGCGGCUACGUUGUGGCGGUCUCCGCAUAGAGUUUCUGACUGAAGAAGACCAUAAAAACUUCUCAAAUUCAUACACUCUUCGCUUCCAUCAAUCUAUCUAUAUACCUCACUCCCUCUGCAGAUCCGUGACGAUCACGAGAAUCCAAAAAUGGAGCCCGAUGAGAAAAAAGCAAUGAUUCGCGAUAUCGCGCUACAGGUCUUCGUCUUCUCCAUCGCCAUCGUCUCCUUCCUCUGGAUGCACGGCAUUCCCCAGCGCCUCUAUGCCAAGCUCCGCCACCGUCCCCCAAACCCACGCGCCGUCCAAGCGAAAAGCCAUUUCAUCAAAGGCGCGCAACUCGUCUCGCAAGCCAGAAGAUCCAAAAACGCCUCUGUCACAGUCUCCCUCGCUAAACAGGCUCUAGAAGAAGCCGAGAAGGCCAUCGCACUGGAUCCCAAGGACGCCGCCUCGCACUUCUUGAAGUCCAUGGCGCUCGAUCUCCAGGGCUUCCGUAGCAACGCUCUGGACGCGCUGGACGCCGCGCUUUCUCCGCUGGCCGCGGCGUCGCUGGCGGCCGACGAGAGAGGCGACGCGCUGCUGAAGAGAGCGGAGCUGAAGAUCUCGUUGAGCAAGAAGCGCGUUGACUCGGUGCUGGCGGAUUUGAACGAGUCAGUGAAGCUGAGUCCCCGGAACCCGAAAGCGUGGUGCAUGCUGGGAGAGUGUUAUGAGGGAAAUGAUAUGGGAGAGGAAGCGAAGAAGGCUUAUAAAGAGGCUCUCCAAUUGGAGCCACAAUUGGACGUGGCUCAGGAAGCUCUCAACAGGUUGGGUUCGUAGUAGCCGUCGCUAUGGAAUCAAAGGUUUGAGAUGAUAUCGCUUUAAUUGCUUGUUGUAUGUUUGUAAUCAAUAUCGUUGUUUAUAGUCUUCGAUUAUGGAUACCGUUAUUGGAGGUUAAGCGUGAGCACUUGCAUCAAUAAUGAUUUUCGCCGAAGAAUUUCAAUUCUAUAGCUGUUAACUGGUGAAAUUUUUGAUAUAGAAGGGGAAAUUUUCUUACCUUUGUAUUUCUUACAGUUUUAUGUUCUGUUCCUAAGCAUAUGUUGUUGGUGAGAACAGCAGUGCUUUUUAUGCAAUAUAACCCUUUCAUCUUGCCCAUCAUUUUCUUUCUUGUUGCUAGAUAUAAUUGGGAUAUAAUGCUUAGUACUAUGUUCUUAAUUGUUUUGGGCUUAAUUACAUGUUUGGAUAUGGAUCACUUCUUUGGCAUGUCGUCAGUAGAGCUUUUAUGCAUGUUCCUCAACUACAAGAACAACCAACCUUCUUCGGAUGUAAAGCAAGAACGGCCCUAACCCUCAUCAAUAGUCAUAAUAUAUAGAAACUCUAUCAAACCGGAGCCCUUUUUGAGGAUUUAUUUUACAGGUUUUAAUCACGAGAACUAGAACCUAAAAGAUAUGAAGAUUCUUCUCUCCAAGUACCAAUCGAUUUAUUUUCAAUUGAAGAAAAACUAUUUUAUUUAGAAUUCAACUUUAACAAAUACUAAGUUUUGAUAGAUUUGUGAUUAAUUUUCAAUAUUCCGCACGAGUAUAUAAAACGAUUUCUGAUUAAGUCGCAAGCAUGUGUUUGCACGCACAUAAUAAUAACAUUCGGUUUUAAGUUACGGAUUAGUGGACUUGAAUUAAAUGCGUUAUUAUAAUAGAAAAGUAAACACGGUAAAGAAAAAGUAAACCAAUAAUUCAGAUAGGAGAGGAACAUAAUUAAUCAUAAUUUGAGAUUUAGUGUGCAACAUAGCAUUAUCCAUCAUUGAGCCACAUUACAGUUGAAAGAGCUGGAAAUGGAAAGAAGAAAGGCAAGGACAUUCCGGAUUGGUUUUUGCAAGGAUUUCCAGAACAUGAAAAGUUCAUUCUGAAAUAUGCUUUUUGGAUUGGUCUUCGAAGGGUAUUCCGAAUUUCGGAAUCGUCAUUAUGAAACAGGAACAUAUUUUCUGGAAGUCAAAAUUAUUCCAAUCCAAAAGCAAACUUUUCCAAUAAAUAUAUUCUCGAAUGUUUAUUGCGGAAACCUCUAAUAAAGGUAAGAAGGGUAUUUUAAAAGUUUGGGGAUUUUCGUCUAAGGAAUUUUCAAAAAUUUUAAGGGAUUUUGAAAUCCAUCAUAGAAAGGUAUUUUUAGUAUGUGGUAAUGCAGAGAUUAAUGUGGUGUAGGAAAUAACCCUCUUUCAAAACCUCUUCAAUUAUUUUAUCUACUGAUUAGCAACCUGACUUUUCGUCUAUAACUAAAUCAAUUUACUCCUAGCAAAGCGAGGCAGAAAGUCCCAAAAACGUUCUUUAAUACAAUGUUCAAAGUAAAAGUUUAAGAUGAAAGCAACAUGAGAUUGAUACACAAAUGAUAUUUCAUCCUUCACAAGGACAGACUACACCUUCGUGUCUUGGCAUAAAAAAUUAUAUAAAUAGAGAAAUGCAAACCUAAUAUCACCGAUCGUAUACAUGCUUAAGGAUCGUAUAAACUGCAUCUUCUUCCCGACUAAGGCGCAGCAGAGAUUUGAACUAGGAGCUUGUACUACUUAACCCAAGAAGUCAUUUGACAUUUGUAAAGACAGUAAAAAUGUCACUAGCAGUGUAGCAUCUGAUGCCAACAAGGACCAAAUGCAAAAUCUUCACAUUAUACCAGUAAGAUAAAACUCCAUCUAUAAAAGCCAAGAUUGAUCAAGAUAGUUCUUCGUCAUCUAGCCACUUGAGCGUUGGCAAAACUUUGACCAGAAAUGACCUGAAGUUUUCAUCGGCUACUGCAUUCCCUAUUAUGUUUAAUUCUGUCAGUGCCAAGCUUCCAAAAAUCAAGAAAGCUUCCCAGAAUUUUGUGGCGCUAACACUGCCAGUGAGGAUUUCAAAACGGUCCCAUGCAAAUUCUUCAGUGUGAGAUAGAGGAGACGGGCAUAAGUAUCUCGUUGUGUCAACCGAGUGAGAACCCAACUCAUUGUGUGAGAUAUUUAGCACUUUAAGUGACUUAACCAAUCUGAGAGGCCCCAAAGCAGUAAAGCUACCAAUUUUAUUAUGACUCAGAUUUAAGCAAGAUAGAAGUUGCAUUGCCUCCAAUCCUGUCAAAAACAUUCAGCAUGAUAUUUAUUUCAAUUUUUAGAUACGUCAAAAGCUAAAUUUUCCAAAAGUGAUUUGCCAAGGAUACAGCCUAAGCUAGAGACAACCUUUCUGACUGAAUACUGCUGCAUAAGAAAUUGGAAAUCAUUUUUUUUAUAAAACUUAAGUAAAUCUAUAUUGUGAGAAACAAAAAUAACAUUUAAAUCAUUAACAUUAAUUAAUUAAAGUUUAUUAAACUGUUGACAUCAGUAGUCUGCUUAAGCUAUAUAGAUUCAAAAGGAUGAUAGUUUAUGCUCCAUUGGCCUAGGAAACAUGGAUAAAAACAUAAGGUGACUAGUGGUUUGCUGAUACACGAAAAGCAUCUUGUUGAGUAAGUUAAAGAGAAAAUAGAAGAGCGUAAUUUUAUACAGUUUAAUUAAGCACAAAGGGGUGCUAGAAUACAUGUUGACCCCACUAAAAAGGAAUAUGGAUAGGUUCUUCUUGUAUUUGAACAGAUAGAAAAACUAAGCUACGACAAAUUUACAAGAUACACGAGUUUUACCUUCAAUGGAUUGAAGUUCGUUGUGGCUAAGGUCUAGCAUUUGCACCCACAAUAAAUUCUCAAUGGAUCCCAGCCGUGACAAUGAUAGAUUUUGUAAUCGUAGACAAAGAUAACCAGCGGUUGUUUCUGUUUCAUCUUCAUAGUAGUGGCAGUAUGGUAGUAAAGAGUCCCUAGUUGAAGUUAUCUGCAGAAUCAUCAAAACAUAAAAAGAGAAAAAUGAUGUAUUGCGGAAGAAACAGACAAUUGGACAAUUGUAAAGUUGAAGUAAAUAUAAAAACACACCACCAUGGCCAGAUAAAGGCUUCAAAAGUCUAGCACGAUUUUGUAAGAAAACCAGCAUUAAAAAAAAAAAAAACCCUUGUAUUUUCUAAAUGCCGUUUCUCCAGUCAACUGAUUUUUCUCCAAAGUGCAAGUUUGAUUCUGAAAAUAUUUUCAGCUUUCACCUUUUUCCCAUAUCUCAAAUGGGAAUCGUGAAAAACAUUUUCAGUAAAACACAAAUACACAUACAUGUGUGUGUAUGUGUGUUCACAGUCAUGUUGGCUGUUUUCAAUUUGAAAGGUAGAUAUUCACAAGAGUAUUUGACAUCUUUAUCAACAACAGUGAAAGUCGAAUGAGAUCAUGUUAUGAUAGAUAACUAAUUCUGAAGAAAAGUAAAUUACCUGCUGUAUUGAUAUUAGACUAUGCUCGUCUUUGUAGUAUAGAGAAUGUGUUGGAUCCAACUUAAUCAGAUCGGCGUAAAGUUGAAGAACUUCUUCAGUGUUAGAUAUUCUUCCAUCAUGUUGAGAUGAUAACAAAUCAAGAGCAGUCAAAAGUCUUGCAAGUGUAAGCUUUCCAAUUUUACUAAAAAAAGAAAAAGGGUACACAUUAUCUUAGAAUUGAACAGAGACAAAAACAUGGGAAUAAAACUUCCAAGGUGGGAUUUCAAAUCAUAAAGUUAUCUACUUAAUAAAUAAACCUUACCAAUCAUACUCUGACAGUAAGUCCCGAAAUUUAGUUAUUUCUUCACCAAUUUCCUCAGUGUGCCAAUCGGAAGUUGUUGGAAUAUGGUGAUUUUGAACGGCGGAAAGAAUGGGAUCUGACUCCUGAAAAUGAUCAAUUUUACGGAAAUUUGUAUCCUUCCAUGUAGUCCUUUUCCCACCCUGUCCUUCAGAAUGUUUAAUAGAUGCAGUCUGUACAAACACUUUAAAGGAAAUUUGGGAAGGAUCACCAUAAUGAUUUUCAUUAGAAGAUACAAUACCCUCAGAAUGUCCAAUGCUGAUAUCUACCGUGUAGGUUUUUGACGAUUGAAGCUCCAUAUUUCCAAGGUUUAGAUAUACAACCCAAACUUUAGCAGUAUUCGAAUUGCUCAUCGAAAGUGGUUUCCAAAUAAGUUCCUCGUCUAAAAGUUCGGAUUUAAUAGACACUGUGGAUGAGUUUAUUCCUUCUACAGCUUGAUUGAAAUUAAGAAUGACCGGUAGAGUUGCAGUGUCUGAUAGUGUACCAUUUAGAAGAGACAAAUGACAACCUUGAAGGCUGUUGUCCCCAAUUAGAGUUAUACUAGAUCCAUGGGAUGGCCAAGACGAAACAAGAAGAGGAGCAUCAGUUUUCACGGUUUGAUCAAUAAGCCAAAGAUGAUAAAACCAGCCACUCUGAUCAUCUGGGUCAGUAAAAAUAGCAUUGUGAACAUGUUCAAACUCUUCUUCCAAAAAUUUUUCUUUCGGGAAAUAUCCUUCAGCCUUUCUUUUCAGCAAAUUAGACAAAAGAACACUGAAAAAUUCCAAAUGCAAUAUGCAUUAGUAAAAUUAGUUGAUACACCUUUCUCAGCCUUUUUAUUUAGAUUAAUAAAUUUGGUUGAUCAAGACAAGUCAAAUUUUACCCUUGAAAUAAAGUCCUAAAGAAUGGAGUUGGUUCAAAUAAACACGAUGCAAAAGCCUUCAAUGGAAAAAAGGGUUUCCCACUUAUGAAGGGCAAGAGCAGUAUUAGUACUUAGUGCAUACAGAUACACAAACUUUUUCCUACAAUGUCAAAAUAUCUCUGGAAUGAUAAAAGUCAUUGCAUCCUGAUGAUCGUUUAAGGGAAAAGGACAGUUUUAUAUUUCGGUAGAACGUGGCAUGUAACCAUAUCAAGCAACAAAAGGGCUAAUUUUUUGAAGUACACGCACCCAAUGAUAUGCUUUCAGUUUUUUCACUUACACGAGAAUAUUGUAGAAUGCUUCAAAUUAGCAGCUAAUUGAUUUUUUAUUGACAUGAAAUCAAACCACUUUUCUUGGUCACAAUUGAUCAAGCAUAGAUAUCAAAAGUGCACCUCGAAGGCUCACAUGGAAAACAUUUAAUUAUGUAGAGUUGUUAGAUGCCAAUGCUUAUUUCAAGGAUAUAACCUAAGAACAAAACAAAUAUAUGUAGACAAAGAUGUACAAGACGAAGAUACAAUUUUAUUCCUAACAUUUCAAUUUCAUGCCUUUUCAGAGAAACAUACAAACACAAGCAAAACAGUCCAAUGUCAAUUCACAAGUUCUGAAAAACACACUUAUGUAACUCAGGUGAUUAAAUAAUUGGCUCCAUACAGAAAAAGCACACAGCCAGCAAGCACUGGAAUGUCCCUUUGAACGAGUAAAUUUCUAGUUAUAACUACCUACGGUUGUGCCAUGCAGAGUAGUUACUGAAAUUAGCUCCUAUAACCUCCUCCGUGUAUUUCAACUCAUCCUCAUCAGAUCGUUUCAUCAGUUCGGUAACAAACCUGGAAGUAACAUCAACGCAAAAAAGGAAACCAGCAUAACCAGUUUAGUUUAGCAUUCAAGAGGAGGUAAUCAUAAUUAUUUCGCAAAACUGCACUGCAAACGUGUUUUUUUUUUUCAAAAUGCCAGAAUUAAAUUUUCAACUAUUAAUAACAAACAAGAGAAACAAAAAUCUCUCAAAUUCAAUCAUUUUCUUUCUCUGGUUGAAAAGAGAACACCAGAAGGAAAAGCAGUAUUGCACCUUCGGUAAUUCCACGCGUGGAAAUUUCGAGGAUCGGCCUUCUGAAAACCAUUCAGAAGGCGCAUUUCGUUGUCGAUGGACGAAUGCCCCAUGCUGAGCACCCAUUUUCUAUGAUGCCACGCGCCGUAAGACUUGAAAUUCUUCCUCAGCGCAAUCUCCACCUAAAGCAUUCGAAACAAAUAGCAAACUCUAGCAAAUCGAUUCACAGAAAAUAAAUAAAUAAACUAAUUAUUUAUCCAAAUAAUUAAACCGCAAUAACUGAGAGUUAACACGCACCAGUUUGAGCUCGCCUUGGAAGAUAGAAUGAGGAUCGGAAUCGGAGUUAGUGAGAAGGUGUUGAACCGCGAGUUUUCUAUAAUUCCAAGCUGUGUAACACUCUGGAUUAACUUCUAGAAGCUUCGCACUCACAUCUAGCGCUUCCUUGCUAUAUCUGCAACCAAUCAGAUUUGCGCAAUUGGAAUUAAUCGAAGGAGAAGAGAAAGAGAAAGAGAGAGAGAGAGAGAGAGAGUUGAAGGAAGAAGAAGCAACAUGCGAUUGUGGUGAUUGGCAAGGAACUGAGUUUGCAGUGAACGAAGCUUUUGAGUCUUCGCUGAUAAAGCAGUUUCAUCUUCUUGCUUCAGCGCUUUGCGAGGCCUACCGUGCAUUUUCAAACGUAAUUCACACUUCUCUGCCCUUCGCCGUUUUGAGUUCUAGUGUUUGGGCAGAUCUCAUUGUUUUCUGAUAAUUAAUAAUUAAUAAUAAGGAAGGCUUGUACCCAGUUCUGGGUUUAUAAUCAAAAUAAUGUUUUAAAUCUCUCAUAAAGUGUUAUUCAGAAUAUAUUAGAAGAAUUUUGUAUUGAUAUUGUGAAAAAAAAAAAAACAAAAAAUGAGAAUUUCAAGAUGUAUUUCGAAAUUAAAUUUUAGCUAUUAUGAAAUAAAAUUAAAGAAAAAAAAACCACUUUACCAUCUCACUAAACACCAAAGUCACUUUCCUAUUUUUAUUUUGGAAAAUGAAUUUUAAAAAUAUAUAUAUUGAAAAAAAAAAGAAAUUGCUGUUUAAAAAUGUAUCUUAGAAUAUAUUUUAAAUUAUCCUAAAAAAAUUAAAUUAAUUUUCUAGAGUGUUUUGUGAUUUAUAAAGACUUUUAGAUUUGAAAGGUAUAAAAAUUUUAAAAUGUCAUUUUUUUUUCUGCAUUUUAGUUAUAUUAUUUAUAUUUUAAGGGUUAAAUAUGUUUUUAGUCCCUAUAUUUUGGAACGAUUUUGGUUUUAGUCUUUCUUAAUGUACAAUUUAGUUCUUCAACUUUAGAAAACUCUGGUUUUAGUACUUUUUACCAAAUUUUUUUAACUUUAUAUGCUAUUUCAAACGCGUUCAUUAUAGUAUUUGGAUUGUUUACACUGUUUGACACAUUUUUGCUAUAGCAUUUAGAUUGUUUAUACUGUUUGACACAUUUUUGCUAUAGCAUUUGGAUUGUUUAUAUUGUUUGACACAUUUUUGCUUCAAUGUUAACUGAGAAACGCGUUUGAAAUAGUAAAUAAAGUUAAAAAAAUUUGGUAAAAAAUACUAAAAUCAAAGUUUUUUAAAGUUAGAAGGACUAAAUUAUACCUUAGUUUAAAAGAGAGACUAAAAUCAAAAUCGUCCCAAAAUAUAGGGACUAAAAACAUAUUUAACCCAUAUUUGACAUAAAUGUAAAAAUACAAAACACAUUUGACAACUUUGAAGAAUUUAUAUUUCUUAAGAAAAGAACAACAUAAAAAUUUUAAUGAAUUUUUUCAUCUCUCAAGUAGGAGUGUCAUUUUAAUCCAUUAUCCAGGAUCAGCCCCAGCCCGGUUAAAAAUUCAGCCCCAUUUAGUGGCCACUCAUUAGGGGGCUUUCCCCCAGCCCCAAAACCCCUGAUAGAAUGGGUUGGAACAGCUAGGGGUGGGUUGAACCCCCUUUAUCGAUCAAACCACUUCUUCUUUCAAGAACGCGUCACUGCAGAUACAAGCCUUCUUCACUGAAACUUCUCUCUAAAACAUCAACACAUUCUUCUUCUCACCUUACUGAAGAACGAUCCAAACCUUCGCGAACCUCUAUCAACAACCUCGCAACGCUCUCUUCUUCUGCUGAGACCUCGCCAAAUUCGUAGAACACACGGUUCCGCCUCCAGAUUUCACUUACCGGUAAAUGUUCUUUUUCUCAUUGUUUUAUUUUUGUCGAGUUUUGGUUUUAUACUUGUUUGGUGUCCAUUAUUCAUUUCUCACGCCCCUUUUGAGGGAAAGUAAUGGAUUCUUCGUGGGUUGUGCUUGAAUCGGUAAUUCUGUAGGCUUGAUUUUAUGUUAAAGUAUAUGAGUAGUUUAUUAAGCUGUUACAUGAUCAUAGUCAUUCUCUGGUUGGUAGCUAUGUGCAGUGGUUGAAUGGAAUAAAUUGCAAUAUAUGUUGGUUGUCUCGGUGGUUAACAGACGCAUAAGGUUAUGUAAUAAGGAUGAGUUUAUGAACUAGAUUGUCAGAAUAUCCAAGUUCUGCUCUAGAUUUGUGUCAAAAGUUAUGUAUUUUUCUUUUCAGCAAUACUUUCAUAGGAUAUAAAUAUAAUUAGUGUCGAUCAUCUGUUGUAGUGACUAUCAAUUUCUUCUCACAAUACAUUGACCUAGAAUAAGGACUCCAGAAUUUUUAUAAAGAUAAGACAAUAAAUCGUUGUUCUUUUCUCUUCCCUUUUUACAUUCUACUCCUUCAAUUUAAUAUAUAAUGUUUCAAAAUUAAGAACCUUUUUUAAUAUUUAGUAUGAUAGGAGUGGCUUAAAUUGAAACCUUUUUACAUUCUGUCUCUGUUUGGUUUUGUCAAAGCCAGAUGGAUAACUUUUUGCUUGAACGUUUUGUUUACUUCUGUUCAAAAAGCAUUUAACACUUUUUGCCUUUUCUAGCUCAUCAAAAAGGAAAUUCUCAAUUUUACAGCUAUUCCAAUAUCAUUAACAAAGAACGCUAAACAUUACAGUUGUGAAUUGUCUUAAUUAAGACAUGAAUUAAUGGUCUCUAUUAAUAGUGUCAGGCUCAGCCUCAUCUCUAAUGAUUUUAAGUUAAGUCUGUGAUAAAUUUAUUUGUUUGUUUAGGUUGAGAAUUCCAUAAUUACUACACAUACGAUUGAAUGAAACACUAACUUAUAACAGUUAAGUAGUAAACUUUACUUAAAAAUAGUUUUAUCCAUUUAAGUUUAACAUAGCAAAAAUAGUUGGUAAAUGAAACAAAUUCAUGUUGUUUUUAAUGCAGCUUAAGAGAAAGAGCCAUUCAUUUGAGUCUCUUUCUAAUGGUGAACUUCUGGCUAUUCCCGUGCAUUACCACUGAUUCGGAUUCCACAAACACAUAUGUCAUAGCCUCGUACACAGACAACUUGGGACUAAAGUAGUAUUCGAUACCCAUUUAUUCCCCUCGAUUCUACCAUGCGUGUCGGAAGACAUUUUCAUUGCCAAAGUUGGUAGUAGGGUCAGAUCAGUAGUCUCUAGAACAACUACUUUUAUAUACAUUUCCAUGGAAUGAAUUCUUUAACUAUUUUUUCUUUUCUUUCCAACUACUUUUUGCUCUUCAAUGUUGUUAAGUAGUAAGAGGGAAGAUGACUUCAACAUGUCUCUACUAUAAUAAUGUUAUUUCCUAUUAAUAAAUGAAUUGGUUGCAUCAUUAUAUUACAUGUGUUGCAUAGCCGUGAAUUCUCUCUACACUUUGUGUUAUGUCUGGCAAAGCCAGAAGGAAUGCUAUAUCAGAGGGUACACUCCCUCUUUCCAUCAUUGCAGCAUAAGGUCUUUUCAUUAGUUGCUUCAAGAGUCUUGGACCCAAUUGGUGCCUCUUUUUUGUUUAUUUUAGUUCAUUUAUCCCUUAAAAAGAAGAUGCAAUUAAAUCAACUUGCCCAAAACCAACAGUCAAAGUAGCUACCAAUAGAUCAAGAAAUAAGUAGAAUAUAUACACACCUCCAAUAGAUGCUAAAAUAAGAGCAGUUUUCCUGACCCAAAAAUAUCUUUAUUGAAGACCUACUAAAAAUAUUGUUCAUUUAUCUAUGCAGCUGUGUGCAAUGCUUUUAAAUAUGGACCACCAUAAGAGUAAUGCUUUGAUUUUGGUUGAUGAUCUUGCAUCUGAAACUUCCGGUCCAUCUGAGAGUGCUACCACCAAUAAAAAGAAAAUCUCAAAUGUUUGGAAUUUUUUCACAAAAAUAGGAAAAGAUGAAGAUGGCAUUGAAAAGGCUGCAUGUAAAUAUUGUGGUAAUAGCUACAAAGUUGGAAAAAACCCAAUUACUAAAAACAAUUAUGGAACUUCACAUUUAAGUCGACAUGUCCAUGUGUGUAAAAGUAUUGCAAACUUAGAUGUGGAUAUGAAUCAAGAAGGAAAGUUUAGGACAAGAAAAAUCAAUCAAAAGAUUCAUCGGAAGUUACUUGCAAGAGCCACAAUCAAACAUAGUCUUCCUUAUAAUUUUGUUGAAUAUGAAGGAAUCAGAGAGUGGAUAAAAUACAUUAAUCCUAAUGUUGACAUGAAAUGCAGUAACACUACUGUAUCGGAUGUGGAAAAGGAAUACAUUGAACAAAAGGAUAAAGUUAAGCAAAUCAUGUCUAGGAUUCCUAAUAGAAUUUGUUUAACCUAUGAUGUUUGGACUGCAGUUACUUCUGAGAGAUAUAUUUGCCUAACUGCACACUUUGUUGAUGAAAACUGGAAAUUGACAAGUAAGAUUCUUAACUUCUGUCGAAUGAAACCACCAUAUGCAGGUGUUGAACUGGAAAGUGUUGUGUUUGGUUGCCUAAAGCAAUGGGGUAUUGAUGAGAAAAUUUUCUCAAUUACCCUAGACAAUGCUUCUACCAAUAAUAAUUUGCAAGACAUUCUGAAAAGCCAUCUUUGUGUUCAUAGAAAUUUAUUAUGUGAUGGUGAUUUUUUCCAUGUACGAUGUUGUGCUCAUACUCUUAAUAUGAUAGUUCAAGAUGGUUUAAAGGUGAUUGACAAAGCACUUCAUAGUAUUAGAGAGAGUAUUAAGUAUGUUAAAUCAUCAGAUGGAAGAACUCUCAAAUUCAAAGAAUGUGUUAGUGAUGCUGGCAUAAAUAUGAGCAUGGGUUUGAGAUUAGAUGUGACUACAAGAUGGAAUUCAACCUAUUUAAUGCUUGAAAGUGCAAUCAAAUAUAAGGGAGCUUUUGAAAUUCUCAAAGUGGUUGAUAGAAAUUAUAAAUAUUGUCCAUCUUAUGAGGAAUGGGAUAAGGGAGAGAAAAUAUGUCAAUUUUUAGAACCAUUUUAUGAGAUUACAAACAUGAUGUCUGGUUCAUCUUAUCCCACUUCAAACUUGUAUUUUAUGCAAAUUUGGAAAAUUCAGCUCAUCAUUGAAGAAAAUUUGUUGAAUGAAGAUGACACCUUAAAGGACAUGGCUUGUAAUAUGAAAGAAAAGUUUCAAAAGUAUUGGAAGGAGUAUAGUAUUGGGUUAGCUUUUGGAGCUAUUCUUGAUCCACGACUAAAGGUUGAUUUUAUAACAUAUUGUUAUAAAAAAUUGGAUCCUCUAAGCUAUGUAGAGAAAACAAAGAAAGUGUUAGAGAAGUUCAAGAGGUUAUUUAAAGAAUAUGUAAAGAACUUUUCUACCUCUAGUGUUUCUCUUUCCCAAUCACCUACUGAAUCCAUCUUGAUGUCUCGGUCCAAUACUGAAGGGAGAAAGUUUAAGAGAUCAAGGAUUCUUUCGGUAAGCGUUUUAUAUCUAGUGCUCAUUUUUUUUUCAGUUUUUCUAGUUUUGUUUUGAUAAUUAAUAUGUAAUACAUUGUAGGAUUUUAAAAUGUAUCAGAAUGAAUCAAAAUCUAUCAUUGGAAAGAACGAGAUAGAUGUUUAUUUAGAUGAACCAGCAAUAGAUGAUGAUGAAGACAGUGAAAAUUUUGAUGUGCUCAAAUAUUGGAAGACUAAUGAGAAAAAGUUUGCCAUAUUAUCUAUAAUGGCUCGAGAUGUGCUUAGUAUUCCCAUUACUACAGUGGCAUCAGAGUCAGCUUUUAGUAAAGGUGGGCGUGUACUUUCAAAAUAUAGAAGCUCCAUUCUCCCUGAGCAUGAGCAAAUGUUGAUUUGUACUCAAAAUUGGCUAUAUGGAUUUUUUGAAAAUCCUAGUGGUAAGUAUAUAUGUUAUUUUUUUUAAAAUUACUUUACAUUAAAUUAUUAAUUCUAAACUAGUUGUUUGAUUGUAUUUCAAUUGCUUGUGAUAGAUGAAAUUGUUGAAGAUAUUUUUGGUCAUGAGGAAAUUGAUGAAUCUAAACUUUUAGAAGAUGUUGAAAGUCUUCAACAUUGUGGGCAGUGAAAGUGAUCACAGGUAUUAAAUUAAUCUGUUGUGUGAAUUAAUCUUUGAAAGAUCAUGUUGUUGGCAUGUUCAUGAUAUACGGGACUGGUUUGUGUAAUUGAAAGGUUUUAAUUGGUACGAGUUGUGAAUAUUUUUUGAAAGAUCAUGUUGUUGGCAGACCAACUUUCCUCAACACCCAUUGUUGAGAAUGAGAAAGCCAAAAAGGUACCAUCUUAUACUUUGGGGCUCCCAUCAAUGUUUCAAGCUUUGUCUAUUUAGUUUCUUAGAUACUGUUGGAAAGUCUUCCAAUUGAGUCUCUAAUUUUCAGCUUGAAUUUCUAUUCGCAUGUUUUGUUUUGUGUUAAAAAAAAAUUGAUUCUGGGGCUAUAAUUGAUUUUUGAGUUAAAAAAACACUUGUAAGUCUUUCAUUUCGAAAAUUUGAUCUGUUUGGUGGUUUAGAUUAUUUUUUUUUUCAUUUCCAUUUUGAAUUACUAUUUGGAUUCUGUGUUGGUUUUAAUUUAAUUUCAGUAUUUCAGUAUUUGCUUAGGAUGUAGAGGAAAGUGUGAAAGUGUUAAAAGAUGCAGCUAAGACAAGAAAGGUUGCAGCAGAGGAGGUUCUUUCUGCAUUGUCUAUCAUUGAGAAAGCAAAAGUUGAUCCUUCUGGUUUUUUUGAAAUCCUUGGUGGCAAUAAAUCUCCUGGGAGGACCUGGAUGCUGAUUUUUACUGCUGAGGUUAAUCUACUUUUUUGGUAGCUCUUCAUUUGACUAUAAUUGACUUCUUACUACUUUCCACAAUUUUUUUUUCUCAUGCUAUUAAAUUUUAUUUACUGCAGUUAAACCUUCCGUAUCAAGUUGUUUCCAUUGUAUCUGGUGCUUUGAAUGAUGUUGCAGCAAAUAAUAUGAUCUAGAAGCAUGGUUUCCAGCCUCUCAAGUUUACAUUGUAUCAAGUUAUUUCCAUUUUAUAUUUUUGUAUUGGUAAAGAAAAAGUCUAUGGGCUAGUCUUUACCCAGAGGAGAUUUUUAAUAUUGUGAAUUUUUUCAAUAAAAUAUUUUUUGGUUAGUGCCUGUCAAAUGGGCUAAUUUGACAUACUAUUUUAUCUUCAUUCGUUUACUUAGAUUGAACUGUACAUGCAAAUACACCUAUUUAUUUCACAGUACAUGUUAAACAAUGAGUGGUAAAAAUAAAAAUUAUCAAAAUUAAAUAUUUGGCAAUAUAUUUUUAAUUUUUAAACUAUCAGACAAAUUUAUUUUUAGUUGCUUUUUUAAAUUAAACUAUAUUUUGAAUUUUUUUUUCAAAGAAACCAUAAUUUUUCUUCUCUUUGUUAAAAAUAAGCUAAUGAUGUGCCACGUCAAUUUUAUUUCUUUUACACUAGUCAACUCCUCUUCCUCCCUCUCCCUCCCAAUCUACCACAGCCACCCGGCGCCACCUCCGAUGUCACCUCGAACACCUCCGCGAGUGAUGAGCCGUCUUUCCGUCCCACGGUCGUCGAUCUUAAAGUUCUUUACCUCCGCCACCUUGAAACUCAUCCCCCUUCGGUAACUCCUCCCCCAACAUCACUUUACCUCAAACCCUCGACACCAACCUUAACUCUCAUAUCACUUUCUUUUCCCUAUCCCAAACCACACCCUCUUCAUUCUCUGAGGUGCAGUUCAUAUCCGAGAGCGACCUCUUGACCAUUGACACCCUUUGGAGGGAGCACAGUGGCAACAAAUUCGGGUACAGUGUGCAGAAAAAAGAUAUUGGAGAAGGCCAAUGGGGUGGAUGAAGAAGCUUGAUACUGAGGUGGAGCAGUACAACUACAGGUCUUUCCCUUCUGAGUUCAUCUGGUGAAGAAGCGUUUUACAAACUCUCGAACCGAAGGUUCAUUUGUUUGGUUGUCAAUUGUGGUCUUAAUAUCAAGCAGAAAUUUAAUUUAAUAUAAGCUACGGAAAUGUGGAGACCAUAUAUAAUAUUCAAAGAUUUUCCAGCAUAUUACUAUGGUGGCAUCUGAAGAGAAAAUAAAAAAGGUACAAGUCGCCAGAAGGAUUCUCAACGCUUAUGAAUGAUCACCGACCGCCUUCAACAUGGAAUUUUGAAAUUAAAACCACCAAUUAAUGGUUCUGUGAGGGUGCACACAUUAAAACAAAUACAAGCCACUUCAAACAAAAUUCCAGAUUCAAAGGACCCAGUAUUAGUAACUACAAACCAGUAAGGGAUUAAAAUGCCUGCCCAUGGUGGUAUUUUGCUCUUCAUACACCUAAAAUUUAAAAUCUAGAGAUUAUUAGGUCCUAUAGUCUUGAAUGUGUAUGAAAUAGUAAUUACUACUGGGCUCCAUUUUGGCCUGUCUAAUGAAAGUCAUUAUACCAGGUAAACCUGAGCAUAACAGACUAAAAGGGAUUGAGAGAAAACAAUCAACAAAGUUGAAGAACCAAAAACAUGAUCCAAGUAAAUUGUAAUGAUGUAAAAGCAUAUGGGAGCACACUAAACUUCAUCAUAAAUGCCUAGAAAUGACGUGGGCAGGGACUGAGUUUCGCGGUGGCGGAGGUGAAGGACUUCAAUAUCUAGCUCCAGGGGACAGCCGUGGGAAGGAAGGAGUGGCUCGCGAUCGGGGGAGGUGUUAGAGUGGCGCCGGAGGUCACUGUGGUAGAGUGAGAGAGAGGGAGGAAGAGGACCUGGGAAAAGAUUGAAGAAUGUCAGAAAGGAUAAAAACGGUUAACCACCUCAAUAUAUUUCAUUAGUUUUGAAGGAGAAAAGAUUAUACAAGAACCAUAAUGUAACUUUGAAAGAGAAAUUAAAAACAAAUUGAUUUAAUAAUUUAAGGACUAAAAAUAUAUUUAACUUGUAAAAUUAAAAUUUAAAUAUAAUUAUUUUUAAGAGAAAAAGUCACGGUUUAUGUCUUUAAUGCUGUGUUUACUUGUACUGAAUUUCCUGUUCACAAUAAUUUGCAAGCGAUGAAUUAAAAAAAGGAUAUCGAUAUGUUAACAACCAAAUUUUAACAACAAUUUGACAACGCCAGUGUCAGCAAUCUAUUGGGUGAUUGAAUAUUUUUUUUUAAUUAAAAUAAUGAUUUGAAAAAGGAGAUUUUGUGUUGUUCCAAAAACACCCUCAGUGGUUUGAAUCAAUAUUUCUCCUUCGAAGCACUCUCUCUUUAACCACUCUCUCUCUUUUUGCUCCAUUGUAGGUUUUCGUUUCUCUCCGAAGCUCUCUCUGCAUCCAUUUAAUGUUUUCGUGUUCCUUUGAAGUUGUUCCUUCCGUGUCCAUUUANUGAANGCUUUGAAACGGUGAGCAAUGUGAGGGGAGGUUGAAGGAUUUCGUUGGGUUUCGNUCUUCCGAGCUAGGUUUCGCCUNUGUCGUCNUUGGGGGUGUAUUUCGUGGAAGUUGUUCCCUUUUUUAUGCUAUGGGUUCGUCUGCAGAGAUUGGUUCUUCAAAACUUGGUUGAGAGUUAUGUAAUUUUUGUAAUAGUGUAGUAUUUGGUAGAUUUUUAAGUAUGUAUAUUUGUAUUUGGACCACUUAAUAUGAUUGUGAACANAGAUNNUUAUUAUUGGAAAGGAUAUUUUAUUGUACUGUUGAUUCCAUGUGUUAUUUAAUUUUGAUUCAUUAUCUAAGUUAAAUGACCCCUAUGUUUGUGGGGAAGACGAAGUAGAGGUUUGUGUGGGUUGGAAUGUAAGUUCCUGCAGCAAUGGCACUAGCCUGGUGCUAUUGUAAUCGCUUACAGGGUGAGUGUUAUCGAUUAACAUAAUGAAAAACAACUUUUUGAGCAAGUACAGGUCUUGGUAGGUUGAUAGGGGCAGGUCUGAUGCUAUGGUAAGCAAUUACAGAGGUCCUGUAAUCGCUUACCAGUGAGAAAAUGGAGGUUUGUACCAAAACAUGAGAGCUGCUAACAAUGUCUGGCUGAGUGGCUCCCAAGUAUGGUCAAACAUGUUUUACCAGUGCAUUGACUAUGCAUUACCCAACUUAUCACGAACCACCCAUUUGUGAGCAACUCCAAAAAACUCAAGGAGCAGCCACCAACUUUCGGUACAAAACUUAAUAUUUUUUCUGGUAAGCGAUUACAGCUUGCCUGUAAGCGAUUACACAGUCUCCUAAGGCACANNNNNNNNNNNNNNNNNNNNNNNNNNNNNNNNNNNNNNNNNNNNNNNNNNNNNNNNNNNNNNNNNNNNNNNNNNNNNNNNNNNNNNNNNNNNNNNNNNNNNNNNNNNNNNNNNNNNNNNNNNNNNNNNNNNNNNNNNNNNNNNNNNNNNNNNNNNNNNNNNNNNNNNNNNNNNNNNNNNNNNNNNNNNNNNNNNNNNNNNNNNNNNNNNNNNNNNNNNNNNNNNNNNNNNNNNNNNNNNNNNNNNNNNNNNNNNNNNNNNNNNNNNNNNNNNNNNNNNNNNNNNNNNNNNNNNNNNNNNNNNNNNNNNNNNNNNNNNNNNNNNNNNNNNNNNNNNNNNNNNNNNNNNNNNNNNNNNNNNNNNNNNNNNNNNNNNNNNNNNNNNNNNNNNNNNNNNNNNNNNNNNNNNNNNNNNNNNNNNNNNNNNNNNNNNNNNNNNNNNNNNNNNNNNNNNNNNNNNNNNNNNNNNNNNNNNNNNNNNNNNNNNNNNNNNNNNNNNNNNNNNNNNNNNNNNNNNNNNNNNNNNNNNNNNNNNNNNNNNNNNNNNNNNNNNNNNNNNNNNNNNNNNNNNNNNNNNNNNNNNNNNNNNNNNNNNNNNNNNNNNNNNNNNNNNNNNNNNNNNNNNNNNNNNNNNNNNNNNNNNNNNNNNNNNNNNNNNNNNNNNNNNNNNNNNNNNNNNNNNNNNNNNNNNNNNNNNNNNNNNNNNNNNNNNNNNNNNNNNNNNNNNNNNNNNNNNNNNNNNNNNNNNNNNNNNNNNNNNNNNNNNNNNNNNNNNNNNNNNNNNNNNNNNNNNNNNNNNNNNNNNNNNNNNNNNNNNNNNNNNNNNNNNNNNNNNNNNNNNNNNNNNNNNNNNNNNNNNNNNNNNNNNNNNNNNNNNNNNNNNNNNNNNNNNCUUGGUUCAAACAAUAGGCUACUUGUGAGCACUUGCAACACCUAGUUCUACCCAACUUAUCACGAACCACCCACUUGUGAGCAACUCCAAAAAACCCAGGGAGUAGCCACCAACUUUCGGUACAAAACUUAAUAUUUGCUCUGGUAAGCGAUUACAGCGUGCCUGUAAGCAAUUACACAGUCUCCUAAGCCAAACAAAACCCCUCCUUUCGACAACAGAUGACAAUGCUAGCCCCCUUUCCACACUUCCUCCCAACACUUCAAUGGCGGACGGACGUGAGAGCGCUCGGAAGGGGAAAAUAACGAAACCUUUCGAUUAAUGUCUUCAACGAUGGAAUAAGAUCCAAAAAAACCUCUCCUUCCGACAACCGUUGACAAUGCUAGCGUUCAAUGUGCAACUUCAAUACUUCAAUGGUGGACGGAUAUGAACGAACACGAUUUCGAUGACGUGCAAAGAUUUCAGAAUGCUGGAGGGAGAGUUUGGUUUCCUGGAGAGAGAUAAGUGUUAUCGUGGAGAGAGAGCGUAUCGGUGGCGCCAAUAGAAUUCAUUUCCAGCAAAUACUUUUCCACAAAAUGCCCUUCCCCUAAGGAUUUUUCAUUUUAAAAAAUCCAAUUAAAAGAACCAAUCACAGCACGCCACCUGUGGUUGUCAAAAUAGUUGUCAAAUGGCGUUGUUAAAGUAACAUUUUCCUUAAAAAAACGUGUUCACUCGACGUGACUUGAGAGGAAUGAAUUGAAGGGAAAAUGCAGGAUUGUUGUAGGGUUCAGUCACCCGCAUAUGUGAAGAGAUUUGAAGGGAUGAAAUAGUCUUUGUCUGAAAUGUCCUCUUCUUAAAAAUAAUUCCCAGCUCACAAAACAUAAAAUAUAAGCCACUUGCACGGUAUAUCAACAUAGAACAUUCACUGUGCAUUCACGAGAAUCUUGGUACGUUAAUAUAUUCGAUGGUAGAUGAAGAAGAUAAGGUUGAUGGGCAGUGGAUGAUGAAGAAGGAAGUAGUUGAUGAAGAACAUGAAGCUGCCUGGAGAAGACGAAGAAGGUGAACCGUAUUCGAUUCCAACAUGCCGUAUUCGGUUACAGACGUGUGAAGAAGAAGGGAAAACGUAUUCGAUUCUUAUAGCGUAUUCGAUUACCCUAUUUUGCCAAGUUGCUUUAUUUGAUUCCCAGGUGUAUUCGGUUACGAAGGCUUGCGCUGUGAUGGUCCAUAUGCCACAAGGCAUGCACCUCCUACCAAUAUAAAGAUGAAUCCAUAUGAACAUGUGCCCAGGAUUAGGAUCAGACCCAGACAUUUCCUCUUUAUCUUCGUCCAUUCUUAAGCAGUGAUGAGGGGUUAAUGAUGGAGGAAAGACCAUUAGGGUGGCAUGGGGUGUGAAACAGGUUGCAUUUGGAGGUGCCCUGUUCUAAUUUCUUCUAGUGUGGCACUUGCAGAGAAUUGAGAAUGGGAAUUUUUCUAAAAUGGAAGGCGUGUUCAAAAGUUGGUGUGGCACUUGCAGGGAAGCACAUGUCAAUAAUAAUAAACGUUGGUGUAGCACUUGCAGGAAAACGCACAUAAAUAAUAAUAAUAAUAAUAAUAAUAAUAAUAAUAAUAUUAUUAUUAUUAUUAUUAUUAUUGAAAAAAGAGAGUAGUAAAGUAGUGUUUUUUUUUAAUUCAUUUUACUACAUUAUAAUUUCUUUACCUUUUAAAAAUUGUUUUUAAUAAUUAUUUUUAAUUUUUUAUCCAUAAUAAACAUUUUUACAAUUAAAUAUAACAUUAACAAAUAUCAUUUUAUAUUAUUUUAAUAUUUAGGAGUAUUUUGAUAAUCUUCAAUUUCUACCAAUUAAACAAAUUUUUUUAAACUAUCAUAUCAAUCAAAUCUUACACUAAUUCUUACAAAUUUUACCUCUAAAUCCACUUUCAAUUACCUUCAAAUUCACUCAAAUAAAUACAAAAAAAUUACCUCCAAAUCUCCUCAAAUUCAUCCAAUCAUUCUCUCUUAAAUCAUCUCUUCCAAUUAUCCCGAGUAAAUACACCCUAAAACAUCUAGUACAUUUUUAUUAUUUACACAUAAUAAAAAAAAUAUAAAAUAUUUACUACAAAUUAAUAUUAUAGAAAUUAAUGAUUUGGCUAUUGUUCUUUAUGUCAUCUCAGUAUACUUAUAUUUGUAUGAGAUUAAUAUAUAACUUAUGAUAAAUUAUAAGCCAUACAUAUACUCAAUAAAAUAUCUAAUAAACCUUAUAAAUUAAAAGUAAUAUUGGUUCAAAAAAAUAUGUGAUUCAUUAAAUAACUACAUAAUAAAGGAUAAACAUUUAAUGCAAAAAAAAAAAAUAUAACUAACAUAAAAGUGAUAAACAUUCAUUACUUUCACAUGAUAGUUUUUUUUCUAUUUUUUUUAUAAACUCUUCAACAGCUUUUUCUUUUUCUUAAUAGGUUUCUUCUUUAAAUAUAUUUAAAGCGACUCAAUUUUGUUAAAACCUAAUAAAAUAAAUUUGUUAAGGAUUAAAUAUACUUUUAAUUUUUCAACUAGUCUUUUUGAAUUUUUCUUUUAAACUUUGUUUCGCUCUCAUUCUCAUCCAAGGUGUUAAACUUUUUAUCAUUUGCCACGUUUUAGACUUAAAAACUCUUAUUUUUUUCACAACCAUUGCUACCUCCUCUUCUUUUUAUCAUCCCUCAUCAACAAGUUCUUGUGUGCUAUGCGAAAAGAAAGUUCUUGUCUCGCUAAGCGAAUUUAGUGUGUGUUGUACGAAACAUCCUUGUCUCGCCUUGCAAAAGAGGGUGUGUUGUGCGAAUUAUCUAAGUCUAGACUUCAUCUUUUGCUUUUGUUUUGGUUGAGUUAAGGGUGUCUAAUGAUUGAAAUGCAUAGUACGAUGGUGGUAAUGUUAUUUAAUUGAAAACAUGUGAAUGUAUGAGGUAUGAUUGGUGAUUGAAUGUAACAAAGUGUGGUUAUGGACGUAAUUCCAUGAUCCUCAAGGAUAGGAUCCAUGGUGGUGCCCUUUAGUGUGUUGUAGAAUGAUUUGCAUGGAAGCUUAGUCUUGGGGUUUAUCCUGAAACUACAAUGUUCAAUCAUUCUCAAGUAGAGAGGAUUGAACCAUGUCAUGAGUAGUAGUAGGAGGUCUUAGUCUUGGAGGCUCCCCGUAUGCUCCAAGGUGCGAUACAAACUAACCUCGUAAAUGUGGUAUGGUGAAACCCAUUGGCAACGGCUUUGCAAAGCAGUAGAAGCCACCAUGAGUGUAUGACCCGCCAUAGCUCGACAAUCAUUAUAGUUCGGACGAGUCGGUUUAAAGUGCAACAAGUCAUGUUUGAGUAGUAUAGUAUAUCUGUUUUAAUUUGCAUGUUGUGUGUGAUUGUAUAACAUGAUUCUUGUAUAUCUAGCUCACCCUUUUUGCGUGUUUGUGUCUUCCUUGUGUUUUAUUUUCUUUUGCAAUGAUCAUCCACUUGAAUGUGAGCAGAUGUUGAGGAGGUGCCUCUAGAGCAGGUCCUGGAGGGUAAUGAAGUUGCAGCUUAGGUUUUAUUUUCUUAAUUACGUUGUAUUAUUUUGAGAUACUUUAUUCUAUACUUAAAGUUUUAAAUUCUAAUGAUGCUUUGGAUGACUGUAACCUUAACAACAUAAUUGCAAGCCUACUCUAACUGUUCUUUAUAUUAUGAGUGUGGACUUCUAUAUUAUAUGAGACGUUUUAUAUAAUUGGAAUGCCACAUUACACAUAAUAAAAAAGGUUAAAAGCUCUUUUUGGUCCUAGUUUUGGUUGGAAAAAUUCGAAAUGGUCCCCAUGUUUUUUUUGUGUUCAAUUUGGUCCUAAAGAACGUAAUUGGAGUUCAAUUUAGUCCUUUUCACUAACUCCGUUUAAAUCGUUAACGGUGAGAUGUCCAAAUGUGCAAUUAGAGAGUGAACUGUCAUUUAUGCUCUCACGUGGACUAGAUCAGUCAUCAUCAUAGGGACCACAUUUGGAAAUAAUUAACAGAAAUGGGGACUAGAUUGAAAAACUUUCAUUCAUUACAAAACAAAGAGCCACAUCACCAUCUUCCUCAACCUUCAGCCCAACCAAAAAUCGAAACCCUACUUUCUUUCUAGCCACUUAACCCUAGUGCCGCCACACCUAAAUCCUCAGGCCGCCACCACAAUUAUAGCCCCAGAGACUCCAAAAACUUUCAUACGAAGUGACCAAAAUCACAUUCACACACCCUUUUUAUCAGACCCCUGUCAACGGUUUCAAUCACAGCAUCAACAACUCUAACUUUAAUAUUGAAGAGAACCAACAAGGAAAAAGAAGAAACUUGACAUUGUUCACGAACUUGGGUUAGUAAAAACUUUAACUUGUUGGGAGAAACAAAGAAGAAUCCAUUUAUUGCAACAAGAAGAAGAAGAUUGGGAAGCAGACAUGGCUCAUUAACCACCAAGAUUGAGAAGAAGAUUGGUUAACCUCCAACGUCACUAUGGCUUUCAUAAAACAAAAUAAAAAUCCUAAUUUGAGAAUUCACCCCCUUUUUACCUCAAUCUCGCAAAUCUGAUUUCGCAAAUUUGAUUUCCCUAAGAUGAUUGCUUCCAAUUGGAAUAGCACGUCAGUGGUGUUCCCUUGCAAAGAUGUUCUUCUCAAUCUCGCAAGUUUCACAAGUUUCCGUCCCAAACCACGAUAAAAAUUUCACAAAUACUUAACUUUAAUUUAUUCUCAAAAUAAUAACCCUAAUCAUAAAUUCUAUUUAAAAAAUCCUAAUUCCAACUGACAAUGUCACAAAGGACUCCAAGUCAGCCAAUAAAUGACACAUCACAAUGCAGUUGCAGAUCUGGAUAGCUCGCCAUUAUCAAUUUAAACGGAGUUACUGAAAAGGACUAAAUUGAACUCCAAUUACGUUCUUUAGGACCAAAUUGAACACACACAAAAAAACAUGAAGACCAUUUCGAAUUUUCUCAACCAAAACUGGAAACAAAAAGAACUUUUAACCUAAUAAAAAAAUAUAAAAUAUUUAAUACAAAUUAAUAUAGUAGAAAUGAAUAGUUGACUAUUUUUUAUGUCAUCUCAAUAUACUUUCUACGAUAUUGAUAUAUAACUUAUGAUAAAUUAUAAGCCAUACACUCAAUAAAACAUCUAGAUAAACCUUAUAAAUUAAAAGUAAUAUUGGUUCAAAAAAAUGUGAUUCAUUAAAUAACUACAUAAUAAAGGAUAAACAUUUAAUACAAAAAAAAAUAUAACUAACAUAAAACUGAUAAACAUUCAUUACUUUCACAUGAUAGUUUUUUUUCUAUUUUUUUAUAUAAACUCUUCAACUAUUUUUUUUUUCUUAAUAGAUUUCUUCUUUAAAUAUAUUUAAAGCGACUCAAUUUUUUUAAAACCUAACAAAUUUGUUAAAAAUUAAAUAUGCUUUAAACUAUUAAAUCUUUUUGUAUUCACUCUCAUUCUUCUCCAAGGUGUUAAAUUUCGCAUCACUUGCCCCUUUUUACACUUAGAAACUCUUACUCUUUCCACAACCACUGCCACCUCCUCUUCUUUUUAUCAUCCCUCACCAACGACUCCAGCGUCUCCAAUGAGAAAAUCGGUCACGUUCUCCUUUCCUCCCCGCCAGACCUCCUCACUCCUCCCACCGGAAAAAGUUUCUCCGCCGCCAAACCUCCUCUCUCCUCCUCCCACCGGAAAAGUGCCACCUCUUCGAAAUCGGCAAAGUCAGCUUCGGCAACGCCAACGACCAAACCGCGUUCAACUUCCUCGCCCCGUCCCUCUUCGCCGCCAACCCCGCCCUCACCAAACUGGGUCGCGACGGCCCAAAGAUAAUGCAGAAAUGGGUUCUCUUCCAACUGGGCCCAGUCCUUCACUGGGGUCUCCCCCAGUUUAGGGAAGAAUUAUUCCUCCCACUGUCCCUAAUUUCAUCAGGGUCUUCCAGGAAAGCGGUUUCCCAUUAUUAGCUCAUAAGGUUUGGCUGGAAACACAUACAGGUGAACUAUGGAAGCAAUUCCUAUCUGUGCUUGAUGAAUACAAAGUGUUGUUAAACUCUAUUCUUCCCCUUAUCUGAAGCAGUCAUAAAAAUGUAAUACAUGAGGUUGAGAAGUGUUGAACAUGUACUUAAGAGUCCAAAAAAGUUCAAGUACAACAAGUUCAAGAAACAGUGUCUAGAGGCCUAAGAGCUUGAGUGUUGACAAAUUACAUCCAAAAUGUAACAGAACACUGAAAAUAUAAAUUACAAACUACCACAUUGCGAUGUAUAUUCAUCCCACGGCAUCAUGCCUGGUUAUUAUUAUCAAAAUCAAUUAAAUGAUCAACCAAACUGCAUCAGUUUAAAAGUUGGAGUUACCAAAAAAUACCUAGUUCCAUGAAAACAAUCAUAUCAUAUUUAAGCACACAGCUAAUUGUGUCUUGAAUCUAUAGGCUUUUGGACAGAUCUAUUAGUAGCAAACUAAAAUAAACCAUCUAGAUAAGUUUUCAUGCUUAAAUUGCACAAUUUACUUCCCACCCAGGCUAUGAUUAAAAGAGAGAAUUCAUCUCCCAGGCCAUGUUCACCAGGCAUUCUGGACCACGGAGGAGGACCAGGAACUGAGUUAGUCAUGGUUAAUGGCUGCACAAAAUGCUUCCUUACAACAGUCAGCUGUAAGUAUAAUAGAUACAAAAGAAAUUGAAUUAAAAUGUUGUCCUAGUUCCUAAUGCAAUUACCAAACAAAAUAAGCAAUGCAAAAACAAGAGGACGAAGUCUACAUCAAUGCAAAUGAUGAAAUCUUGGACACUUAACUUGAACUGCAAGCCUUCAGCAAUGGGACUUUUGAACAAACCAAAGGUGCACAGGAGAGCAAUUGCCACACCUUGCCACCAAGUGAGGAACACAAUUGAUUUAAAUGUCAGAAACUUGGCCAACGGUUUUAUAUGAGCCAGUUCAUCCUUUGUAACAGUAUAAAACUGAACAAGGCAGUACAAAGCCCACGACUGACUAAAAUUCAGAACNACUGCCGUAUAAGGAUACCUACAAAUGUAGCAGAAAGCUCAUGCAGUUAUAUAUAACUUGAAAACCUUAACCUGUCGCUAGAAUUGCAUGAGAAGACAAACUUCAAAUGGAAGAUACCAAAUAUGAAAUUUUAACAACCAAAUCUAGAAAUAAACAUAAUAAAUUCAACACCUAUGCAUGAAAGUAACUGACAGAGCUUCAGUAAUAAUUGCUGGAAGACUUCUUAGAAUCUAGUACAAAACAUAUAGUCAAAAACAAAAUGCUAAAUCCUCUAAAGAUUAGGAUGAAGUAGGAUUACUGAGAUCAUCUUUAAAGAUGAUUUGGCAUUUCUCUAGUUAAUAAUAUUUUAAGACAGAAGUAACAAUUUUGAAUGGCAAGUUACUGACUACAAUUUUAAGCUACCAUUCUCAGGUAUACCAGGUUAUGUUAAAGGACAAAUUCAUACGGCGUAUAUAAAUGGAAACGUAAUCUAAUAAUCUAUAAUCUAUAUCCCAUGAUUGGAUACUUUCUUUCCUUUCCUCCCUCUUUUUCUUGCCUGAUACUUUUGUUUCCCUCCCGUUCAAGAUUUUCAUGUUUAUUUCAAAAAUUCUGUUUCCCUUCUCGGUUAUCUAUUGAUGUGAAAUUGGAGUAGUUUAAUAAAUAGCUCCUUGGAAAUUUGGGUUCUGAAUUGUCAGGCAGAAUAUUCAUUUUAGGUUAUAUUAGCAAAGUAGUUAAGGGCAAAAGUGAUAGAAAAUACAUAUGUACUUGGAACAUCUCCGUUAGGUUCCAAAGUCACCAUUACCUCCCUCAAGAACGCGGAGAAAAGAGACACUUUUUCCGAUGAUAGGCGGAGAAGGAGGUUUGCAGGCGGAGGGAGGGAGAAAACCAUUUACAAGUGUAUUUCAACAUGCAAAAACAUUUUCUGUAAUGUUUCUAAAAUACAUUUUUUUAAUCUUUUAAAAUAUGUAAAAAAUAGUAAAUUCUAAAAGUACAAUAAAAAAACUUAGCAGAAAAACUAUCGUAUUUAAGAGCUCCGUGUUGGAAAAACUAGAUGAAAUAAACAGGUCCCUUGUCGCGGACAAAUGGAACAUAACUCAAAUAUUCUAAUACAAUAUAAAUAAAUGGUGUUACACAUCCUCAUCAGAUCACUCAUAAAAAUUAUCAACAUGUUUUGAGAAUUAUCACAUCCUAUAUUUUACUUUCCUAAUUGAGUGACACCCAACAAAGAAAAACAGUUGGAAUCCUCAAGGUUCCUAUUAAUAAAUUACCAGCAUUGCUUGAAUCUUAUCUUCCUUGCUAAUAGUUUAAUCUUUGCAUUCUAAUAAUUUAAUGCUUUAAGCCUCAACCCCCCACAACACAAUGGUCUGAAACCAUUUCUCCGUUGUAUAGCUGUUUGUUCAUCUCCACACUUGUUUCCAAUAUGUCACCAUUAGACACGGAAGAGAGAUCUGUAACAACAGUCCCAAGAUUGUUCUCCUUGGAAUAUAAUUCUGCUGACUUUCCAUUUUCAAAAACAAAAGAACCCUCCACAGCAUAUGCUUCUUUAUCAGGAUAAUUAAAUGAUAUUCCAUCCUCUAAAUUCUUCAUGACUUCUGAAGUGAAUUUUUCAGAUUUCGUUUCUUGCACGCCUGAUUCACCAUUAACACUUCCUUGUGUUUCUACUUCAUGAUUAAUAUUUGUUCCAAUACCCAAGUUUUCAGUAUGAAUUGGGCCUAACUUAUCUCUAGGAUUUUUCCUCUUAGAAGAUUUCCUUUUAAACCGUGCUUUCUUAGGCUUUGGGGGAUUUGAAUUCUCAUCGGCUAUCGAAACAGAUUCUGCUGCCCUUUUCCUGCAUGGAAGGACUGUCAACUGUGGAUGGCCAACCUGGUUUUGGGAAGCAUGAGAUGCACUUGACUGGAUAGCUAAUAAAGCAGUUCUGGCAGCUUUAAUCUCUGCUUCCUUCUUGGUUUUUGCUGCUCCCCCAAUAUAGAGUAUACCUCCAAUGUCCACCGUACAUGAAAAUACUGAUGCUCGACUAGGUGUUUCAUCCUUUUUGCAUUGAUACAUAGGCAUUGCAUAGUUCAUUUUCUGGGCAUAUUCCUGAAGUAAAUUUUUGCAUAAUCCUGUUUCAUGCUGGAAGUAACACCACUAAUUUGGUCAGAGGCAGCAAAUACAGAAAAACUUGUACAGCUGAAGGAGACCAAAAUGCUGAAACUAAAAGUACUAGAUGUUCAGAGACAAUACAACAAGCACAAAUCUCCAAGAUAAAUUGGGCAACAGAGCUAUAAGCUCUUAAAAGUGUCGGAUCAGAUAACUACUAAUCAUGCAUUUUCCAAGAAUCAAAUAAUGAUUUAGGUGGGAAUAGAACAUUAUAUAAGACUGGUAGAUUUUAAAAGUGUAAAGGAAAGUGUUUUGCAAAAUGGUCGAGGAAAAAGGUUUCAAAUACAUGCAUUAGGCCCAACUGAUUCCCUUGUAAGGCAUAUUGAGGCUUUAAAUUCAAGAAAGUUCAACCUACAUGCAUUAGGCCCAACCAAUUCCCUUGUAAGGCAUAUUGAGGCUUUAGAUUCAAGAGAGUUCAACCUACAUUGGACUUUAGUUACUUCAUUUAGCGAAAAACUACAUAGAAAACGGUAGAAAAAACAUACCUUUACAAACAAAAACAAAAAAAAAAAAAACAACUAAACAACAUUAACUGCGUUAGAAAAUGGGAGAAAAAGCACAUCUUUACAAACAAAAAAACAACUAACCAACAUGGUUUCAUUUCAAGAGUCAAAGAGGGUUUCAGAAACCUAUAUAAUGGUAGAACCAUAUAUUGCAUGUGAAAAUACACAAUUGGGAUCCACAAAAAGUUGAUGAUGGUUAAAAGACUACUUACAACAGGUUGAGUGAUAGAAUGAUUAACAACAUUAGAUUUGGCCAACUCCACCAAAGCAACUUCGGCAGCGGACUGCUCUGCUGCCUUCCGAUUGGAAAAUCCAGGCAAAGAAUCAUACCGAACAUCAUUCACUAUCACUGUUGACCUGAAAGAAGGUUCAUGGGAAGGCCCUUCCUUGAUAGUUUCAUAUACAGGAGUGGGCAGCCCCGCCUUCUGGGCAUACUCUUGCAAUCGGCUUUUAAACACAUAGCAAUUUGAAACGCCUGAAACAAAUAGAAAAACACAGGCAAAUAGUUAACACUUAAUAAUAUCCCAAUCCAUACAAAUGGCGUGACAACUAAGCCAGCUCUGAUCCACCUUUGAUUCUCUUUCGUCUAUCAAGAAACCAACAUCAUAAAAGUUAUACCAAAUUGCACCGAACCCUAUCAAAGUUUACAUUUUUUUAACAAACUAUUGCUUCAAACCUAUGGAAGAAACCUAAUUGAUCAAACACCCUUCUCAAAUUCCCUUGGUCAUAAGACACAUUUCUCUCCAACCCUACAUUUCUUUACAAAAACUCACUCCCUCGUUUAGAGCAACAGAAAGAUUCAUGGAAGCAAAAAAUCAAAUCUUUGUCUCCAAAUAUUCAAUUAAAUUUGAAAAACAAAAUACCUUGAAAAUCGUCGUUAGGGGGCAUAGCCUUCUCUGGUGACGGUUACAGAAGUAUUGAGUGAGUGAUUCUGAGACUCUAAUUGGUUCACUCUAAUAUGAUAUGUUGAAAAAGUGAGGAUGAAUUUUUAAAACUGUGAGAAAAUGAAAGAAGAAAAGAAGUAGUUUGUGUGUGAAGUACAUGUGAGAGGCAAUGCCGGAAUCUGCGCCGCUCUCUUUUUAUUAAGUGGCUAGGACGCGUUUAAUUCGGGUACAUAAUACCCGAUAAAGGCCCAUUCAUCUGGUCCAUUUGAUAUAUAUAUAUAUAUAUAUAUAUAUAUAUAUAUAUAUAUAUAUAUAUAUUCCAAUAAUCAUAUUUUAUUUUAUAAUAUUUUUUUUUAGUUUUCAUUGUGAUUUACAAAGUUCAGUGUCUAAUUUGGUUGAUCGUAACCUCCAAUCAUAAAACCUAAAUUACACUAACUAUGAAAUUUGUCUUUUACAAAUAGUUCACUUUAAAAAGGACAUUUUUGUUGAUUAUAAAUAAGUUGGUUAAAAGUUAAGUCCUUUUAAUGAUAAUAAUGUGAAAAUAUUCUAAAUUUGAUAAUUUCACAUCCCCAUCUUUGGAUAUUUUAAAUUAUUUUAAUGUUUUAUAUAUGUUGUGUAUUCAAGAAAAAACAAAUAUUGCAAUAAAAAAGUCAACCUAAUGUAAGAAAAAAGCUCUCAAUUAUUUUGGAAAGUGUUUGGAUUAAUGGAAGGGAAAUAUUAACUAUGUGGAAUCACAUGUACCUAGCAAUGUGGAGUUUAGAAGGGAAACACUAUGUUGAAUGACAAAGACAUUAGAAUUGAGAUGCUCAACUAUUUGAAAAUGAAAGUGACAAUAAUGUGUUUCUAGUUGACUUGGUGUGAGCCACUUGAACAUUAUACUUAAACUCCUAUUCAAAAAGUUUGUGUCAAAGAUUUAUUAUGAGAUGCAAAUAUUUUGUUAGUGGAUAAUGUAUUAAGUAUUUUUGUUAUAAAUAACAAUUAAAAAAAUUAAUUAUUGUUUUUUAAAUAAAGAGAUGAAGAAUACAUGAAAAAAAUACUUUUAAACCUAAAAACUAUAAAAUAAAAUAAAGUAUCAACUCUUUAAGAUAUAUUUCGUGAAUUUAGAUAAAUAUAUUAAAUUAAAAAAGGCCACUGGGACUUAGAUGUAAUGUGAUUUUGUUUUUGCUCUUUAUUUAUUCUUAUUAUUAUUUCAUUAACAUCUAACUUUUUCAUGUAUAUGUGAAAAAAAUAAUAAUAAAAUUCAUAAAAUAAUAAUAAUGAUGUGAUUGUUUAUAUAUAUAUAUAUAUAUAUAUAUAUUAAAAAUAAUUGUAAUUUUUAACUCAUAAAUUAUGUUAUUUAUAACAUGUUACUUUAAUUGUUGUGAGAAGAAAAACUGACUAUUUUAAUUUAAGAACCACUUUUUUUUAGAAAGCAGUACUUGUUCAUUCAUAGUAAGACAGAAAUAAGAAAUAAAUUUACCAUCUACUGCUAUUUGAUCUCAAGAGAACAAAGACUUGAAAGAUUUUUCAAUGAUGUAAGAUCAAGAUGUAGUAAUUAUGAACACUAUUUAUUAUAGACAUAAUCAUUACUUUUUUAUAUGUUUAUUUCUUUUAUAAUUUGUAUAUGAAUUGAGACAUUCAAAUGUUGUAUUCAGAAGGGGACAACAUUGAGUCUGCUUUGUUUAGGAGUGAAAUAUCUCUGAAGAUAAUAUGUAUAUGUGAUUUAUUUUUUUUAUAUAUAUAAAAAGAAUAGCAGAAAACUUUGAGGAUGACUUCUUAUUUCUUGUUUACUUAAACACACAAUGAAUUAGAUUAUUAGAUUGAUUAAUUGAUUUUUUUUUUCCGUUUCUGUGUAGAAUUUUGCAUAGAUUUCUCACUAAAACAAGCAGAAAAAUACAGUUUAAAAAAAAAUAAUAAUAAAGAAUGAGAGUUUUAGGAAAUUCCCUAUAAAAUUUACAGGAAAAGUAAUUUGUAAGAACUUUCUUCACCUAACUUUACAAAUUAAUUUUGUAAAAGCAACACUUUUCACUUUCUUUCAAACUAAAUUUCAAGAUAAAAUUGUAAUAAUAUCCAGUUUAAAAAUCAAUGUAUCAAUUAAAAAAAGAAAAACAAUAUAUACAUGAAUUUCUUUUUGAAUAUUUGUUAAUUUUCAUACUGAAAACUAAACAUGCUCUAAAUGCUCAAAAAAUACACAUACCACAAGGCUAAAUGAUGUUAACAUGGAAUGUACUAUAUGAAGUAUAUCAAUCGGAAUUGAUUGUCAUUUAUGGACAAUUAAGCAGGUAUUAACAGGUCAUAUUGCCUUACGCUCUGCAAAUAUAUGGUAUUAAUGAUUAAUUAUUGGGUUUGAUUACCUAACAUAUAUCGUGUUAAUGGUUAAUCAAUGUGUUUGGCUGUCACGAGCCCUAUAAAUAUACGAUAGACGUUCAGGUACGAUGAUCUUGAUCUAUCAUAAUAAAAAUAUUGACCUCUCUAUGAAACAUAUCUGACUUGAGCAUCGGAGUGUCUUCUGCAGGUCAACCCCCCAUCGGGAAGGAUUACACGAAGAGUUGGACGACGAGAGCAUAGCCAGAAAGGACCACCGACCCCAGACAAAUGUUACCAAAACAUGGAAUAUAUUUAUUAAAAAACAAUAAGUUAUUGGUUCAUUGGUUAUUAAAAAAUAUAACCAACAUUUUGAAAUAAUGUAAUGAAAUUUAUAAAGGAAUCAGAAAAUAAUUAUAAGAUAUUUGUAAGUUUGGGCUCAAAAUUGCAUAUUGAUUUCCAAAUUUGGGUCAAUUUUUGGGUUGUUUCUUUCUAUAUCGCUCUUUAAAUUUUCAUCCAGCACUUUCAUAAAAUUUAAUAAUUCAAUUUUACCCUUCAUUAAAAUUAUAUUAAAAAACCUUAAAUCUACUCAUUCUCACUUUCAUUCUCUAUGCUAUGCAGAUUGCUCCUUCACCUUCCUUCCUUUUCAAUUUUAGUUAUAUUAGUUACUAGUGUGUGAUUUUUUCUUGGUGAGAAGAGAGCAUUUUGAAUCUUCGGUAUUACUGCAUCCUUUGACUGAUUGAGGGGUGAUUUUUGAAGUUUGUUUUAUCUUAUGUGGGAUGGGAAGUUGGUGGUUCUUCUGGCUGUGAUUGUGGAAAAUAAUUGGAAUAUAUUUUUUCAAUUGUAUUUGGAUUGUUCAUUUUGAAAUUCAAAAAAUAUAUGUUUAGAUUUGUAAAGGUAAGGAUUGUGAAAUUUAGAGAAAGUGAAAGACAUGUGUAUGCAGUUGAGUGGAUCAGUUUUGAUGGUGGUAUAUAAGUGAACUUUUCAAAAUUUUGUGUCAUUCUCUGCAUGUAUUUAUCCUUUCCAAAUUUCUGAGUUAUCUUUUCUCCUCCUUCUCUCUACAAAUUCUCUUUAGAAUUUCUUCAUCUCAUUUUCUCUAUCCCAUAGUCAGAUAGUGUUUAAGCCAUUAGAGUGUCAAGAGCUUCUUUAUUCAACAAUCAAAAGCAAGUUUUGAGUUGGUGAGUUCUUUCUUUUCUUAAAAAUUCUGUUUACUGUUACAUGCAAGCCAAGUUUCAGGUUGUAUGUGUUCAUCAGUUUUCUCUCCUUAAUUCUAACUUCAAUUCUGGUCCUACAUUUGGUAUUUUCUCACCAUACGAUGAUCCAUAUAGGUGUUCUUAGAGUUCUUUCGGUGAAAUCAUCAAGUUGAGAAUUUUGGGGUUAAGUUGUCCAGAUUUUCUAAAGUAAGGGAAGCUGGUUAAUUUAAUUAUAAUUCUUUUGUGUAUAAAAUCCAUGUUUGGAUGUUUGCAUGUUUGGAUGAUUGUAUGUUUGGAUUGGUUGCAUGUUGGAUGGUUGAUGGAUACUGGAAAUAAGAACUUGUGAAUGAAUUAAAGUAUUUUUCAUAAGUGGUCUUUGUGUUGGUUUUGAUAAGUUGGAUAAAUUAAAUUGGUCAGGGAACGGAGUAUGAUACAAGUAUGGGAAAUUAGAAGUUGGUAAGAAUGUUGUGAAUUGGUAAAAAUGGGGGUUGAUCAUAAUUCUGCAGAAUUAUGCAGACCGCUAAAAGUCAUUCAUUGACCGUGCGGUCUCUUUUGUGUGCUCGGUCUUGGACUAGUGUUUGGUCUUGCACCAGUAUUUGGGUUGUUGUAAUGUUCAGUCUCUUAGUAUUGAUAGGUUUUAUGAAUAGUAUUUAUGCUAGGGUUAGCGCUCGGUCUUAUACUAGUAUUUAUGUUAGUGUCAUCAGCGCUCGGUCCUAUACUUUUAUGCUAGUGUUAGCACUCGGCCUUAUACUAGUAUUUAUGCCAGUGUUAGCGCUCAAUCUCAUACUAGCAUUUAUGCUAGUAUUAGCGCUCGGUCUUGUAUUAGCAUUAAGUCUAGAAUUAACGCUCGGUCUUGUACUAGCAUUAAGUUUAGUAUUAGCACUCGGUCUUGUACUAGCAUUUGGUUUAGUACUAGCGCUCGGUCUUGUACGGGUACACAAUUUUGUCAUGGUGUUCGGUUUUAUUCUAAGUAGUGAGUUUACUUUCGGUCUCUAACGUUCACAGAGUGUUCGGUCUUGUUUGUAGGUGGUCGUUGAUUCAUGUUUAGUAUGUUUUUAUCUUUAUUCUAGAAUGUUAUUUCAAUUAAGUAUUUCCAUUAAUUUGAUGAAUUACGGAUGCAUGAUUAUGAAUGGUGUUAAAGUGAAAUUAUGGUUGAUAGACGUAUUUCCAUUAUCCUCAAGGAGAGGAUAUAUGGUGGUGUUUGUUGAUUGAGUUUUAUAUAUAAAUGGUCGGACUUUUGUUGGGAUUUAUCCUGACAUUUUAAUGAUUAUUCAUGCUCAAGUAGAGAGUGAUAAGUCAUGUGAUGAGAAUAGUAGGAGGUAUGAGUCCGAAGUGCCUGCAUGGCAAAAGGGUGUUUGUAGGACUAACCUGGUGUGAUGGCUGAUGGGGUUUCCAGUUACUUUUCAUCACAUCAGUGCACAAAUCCUUAUAACUCGACAUUUAUACAAUUCAGAUGGUCAGAGUCAAGUGUUCGGUCAUUGCAUGUUCGUGUGGUGUUGAUAAUGCUUUUGUACUUGUUUUAUUGGUAUGAUUAAUUAAAUUAGAUUAACUGACCCUUCUUUUCUAUUUUUAUGUCUUUCGUUCGAUAUUCUUUAUUUUGCAAUGAUUUACCUUGUGGGUGUGAGCAGAAGGAGAGGAGUAUUCUUUGGAGUAGGCCUUGGAUAAGUCAAAGGACCCUGUCCUUUAGCUCAGGACCAUUGGGUCAUAAAGCUGUUUAUAGUCUUAUGUAAAACAUUCGGAAAACAUUCGGUCAAGACUCUAUCUUUGUAAGUAACAGUUCCGUUAUGUACAUAGUUUUGUAAUAAUUUAGUAAUUUUGUAAAGUUUUAAAUUUUAUGGUUAUUUUGUAAUAAUUGUAAAGUUAACAUUAUUUCCAGUAACUGUUUUAUUAUAUUAUUAAAUGAUCACUCCUGUAUGUAGUUUUAUACUAUAUUUUUGGGAUGUUAAAGUAAAUAUAUUCUGAAAUUUGAAUAUAUUUUUUAAUACAUUUUGGAAUAUAUAUAUAUAUAUAUAUAUAUAUAUAUAUAUAUAUAUAUUAAAAUAUAUUUCAAAAUAUGAAAAUAUUUUUUAAAAAUAAUCUGAUGUGUUUUCAUUAAAAAUUGUAUUGUAGAUUGUGUAAUUCAAAAGAUAUUUUUAAAAGAUUCAUUAUAAAUUAGAGAAUCUAGUUGUAUGUUUUCAAUAUAUUUAAAAUGAAAAAAUAAAUUGGAAAAUACGGGUUUCAAUAUAUGUGAAGGAUUAUAAAGGAAGAAUGAAGAUCUGAAGAUGCAGAAUAAAGAAAAAAAAAUAUACAAUAAUAACUUUUACCUUUUUAUUAUAACUGUAAUAAAGAAUAAUUUAUAGUUUAUUGAAUUGAUGCAGGAAAAAGUUAAAUAAAAGAAGAGUCAAACUUUUGUUUAUAAUUCCAACAUAUAAGGUUUCUCAUUGUUCAAUGAUAUUGGAAAUUAUGAUACAUAAGUUGUCUUACCUAGAUAUGUACUCUUCUCACAAAAAGUUGGAAAUCCAAAUUUAUCAUUACGAAACGCAUUAAUUACAAAGAAGAUAGGUAUCUUUCAAUUUACCAUACAUUAUGGCUAGAGAUAUAGAGAUGACAAUUGAUCGGGUGACAUUAUUUAGUCGUAACUUGAUUCGUUUGAUUAAAUUUUAUUUAUUAUUCGAUUUGCUAUUUGUCGGAUAUUCAUUUAAAAAAUAUUUAUAUAUAUUUUAAAAUUUGCAAGUAUUUUUCAAUACAAUAUGUCAAUUGACAAAAUUAAGUAAUUUAAUAUCAAUACAAAAUCUAGUGUAUGGGGUCGGUAUGUCAAUUGACAAAAUUAAGUAAUUUAAUAUCAAUACAAAAUGUAGUGUAAGGGGUUGGUUAGACGACCGAAGAGAUGAUGGCGCAGAGGAGCAUUUAUUAGUUCCAUGGAAAAGUAAUGGAAGAUACGACAGUUUGCGGUAAUUAAUGGUCAGUUAGGAACGCGAGGUUUAUAAAUAAGAAACCAUUGGUCAGGGAACUUUUUUCUGAUAAUCAUAUUCACUCAAUUUCCUGGAGACCUAUCUAACUUGAGCGUCCUAGUGUUUUCUUUGCAGGACGCCUUCGUUCGGUAUUCGAGAAAACACAAUGAACGAGCAAGUUGGUCGAUCGGGAGAAAGAGUGGGACUAAGGCAUCUCGGUUUUGGAUCCUAUAUACUGAAACACAAAAUAACAUGUGGAUAUAACUUAAUAAGGUAAAGAAACAAGAUAAACAUUUAACAUAAAAAUCAAACAAUUAAAAAAUAUAAUUUUGACUAUUCAAUAGAAAAAAAUAAUAAACAAAAUAUUAUGACCUUCAAACUUAAUUAAUCCUAUUAUUUAAUAUAAAUAAUUUUUUUUUCAAAUGCUUGAAAAUAGUUAUUACCUUUGAUUAGGACCAUGUUAAAAAAUUCUUUCAAAAUCCGCUGUAAAUAAGAUAAUAACAAACAUGUAUUAGUAUAAUCUUUUAACACUAUGAAUAACCAAUUCCGAAAGCAAGAUUUAGUAUGUAAUUUAAUAAUUUGCAGGAUAAUGUGAGUGUUCUGUAUUACGAAAUUCAGAAGAAGAAAAUCAUCCUUAAUAUAUUAAAUUCUAAAGGUCGUAAUGAAAUUGGAGGUAGAAGUUUGUGAAAAUAUUAAAAAAAUAUGUAUUAUUAUCAUUGUAGUUUUGGAUUACGUUUCGUAAUUCGUAAUGGAAAAAAUCACUUUUAAUAAUUUUUUUUUUUAUAAUUUUUUGACAGUUCGUGAUUAGUUUGUUUUAAAUAUUUUUUUUUAAAUAAAUUUAAACAAACUAAUAAAAUAGUGACAUAUUUUUUUUGUCAAAAAAUUGUUAAAAAUAGUUGUUAAAAUAUCAUUGUCCAUUCGUAAUAGGUAAACUAAUUUUUUUUAAUUUUAUCUUAAGUUUAAUAAAAGAGUUAUGGAUCACCAAUCAAAAAGGCACGAAAAUUUAUCUCAUUAAAAGUUAAACUUUUUUUUCACAUAGUUAUAAUAAAUGUAUUGUAUUGGAGUAAGUUGUCCAAAUAAUUCUACACAUUUCCACAUGUGAAUAUUUUCUUAUGCUUUCUUUACUUGAAAGAAAUGAUACGUGGAACAGUAGUUAGAAAAGUAAGUUGUCCAAAUAAUUCUACACAUUUCCAAAGAAAUUUUAUAUUACAAAAUAAAAAUAUUAAUUUAUUGAUGUUAGAAAAGUAUUGAAUGAAAAAUUGGAUAUUCAUAUAUAUCAUCAUCCUUAUUUUUAAACUAUACGAAAAAACAGAAAAUGUUGUUGUACAGGUUGUGAUUCAGAGAUGUUGAAGAAUACGAAGAAACGUAUGGGACCGUAAAGUAGACAGUGCAACUAGUCACAAAAUUUUAAAAGUCAACACGAUCAAAGUACUAUUUUGUUAUAUAUAUGUAUAUGAGUAUUUAUAAUUUAAGAAAAAUUUACAAUUUUCACCAUAUCAUAUCUUCACAUGAGAAAAAUAACGAGUUUAUACAUUCACCAACAAAAAAAUUGAAGUUCAUUUUCUCCUCCCACCGUCAUUGCUAUUGAGAGGAAAUUUUUGUUUUAUAGUCACAAAAAAUAGGUUAAACAGAUAUUUUUAGCAUUGGGCUAUUUCUUUGACUACUUUUUUUUUAUUUAUUUUAAGUUAAUCCUAAUUUCAUUUAAAACGGGGCAAUAUGAUUAUGUUUUUGUUUAAUUUAUGCCAAUAUAAUUUAUGUUUUUGUUUUUCUUCUUUAUGUGGUUUAUUUAUGAAAGAAAUAUGAUUUUUUAGUCAUAUAUAUUCUUUUGUUCAUAACCACGUUUUUAGUAUGUAGAUAUUGUCCACUCUGCGUUGAUGUAUAUUCAUUGUCACCACUUUUUUAGUCCACAUAUUCUUGAUUUUGUAUUUCCAAUUCACAUUAUCUUCACUCUAUUAGAUAUUACUCUUCAACCUAACCUAACUAUUAGUUCCAUGUCAUGAAUAAGAGUUUAAUAUAAUGAAAAAAAUUCUUUUAACAAUUAUUUUUUUUGACAACUUUUCAACAAGGCAUACAUGAUAGUUUAUGAUUGGUCUGUUUCAAAAAAACUUUUAAAUGUAAAUUCAAACAAUACCAAUAAAGUAAUGACAUGUGUCCUGUUGUUAAAAAAAUGUUAGAAAAAGUUAUUAAAAUAUGAGGAUCCUAAUAUUAAAUACUACAUUAACUCAUUUUAAAUAAGGGUGUUCCUCCACCUCCCUAAGUGCUCCUUUACCUCCCCACUAUUUUCAUUUAUUUCAAAAAUAUUUUACACAUUCCCACUAUUUUCUCUUAUUGCAAUAAUACCCUACAGCUCUCCACUAUUCUUAACAAUCAUUCUCUUUCUUCUCUGCAUUAAUAUAGCAUUUACAUUUGAACUUUUGAUAUAUUCCCUUAAAUAAAUUUGAUUCAAUCUUAUUUUUGUUAUUCAAUAUAUUUUUUUUCUUCAAAUUACUUAAUAAAUGGUAAAAUUUUGUUCUAAAUUUCUAGAAAAAUGUUUAUAUAUGUGUGUGUUUUUUUUACAUUUAAUAUCUAUAAUUUUUAACAUUAUAUAUGUUUUAACUACAUGCUCGACUUAAAUAACUUGAAUAAAGUAUUUAAUUUAUUAGAUAAAUAAUAUAAAAAUAUUAUUAAAUACUUAAAAUAUAAAAGAAAAGUUAUUUGUUAAAGAUUUGAAAUUUAUUUAGUUUUUUUGUCAUUAUAAAGUUAGUAUAUAAUAAUAAUAUAUUAUUAUUUACUAUUAAUAUAAAAUGGAAGUGGUAGAACCACUAAUAUUAAAGUUUUCUCUGAAAUUUAUAUUUUGUAAUAUUUCACAAAUUCAAAUUUGAACCAUGUGAAUACUCCAUUAAUGUACAGAGAGAAAGAUUUUGAAGAUAGUGAGAAGGUAUAGGGUAUUUUUGGAAUAAAAGAAAAUAGUGGAGAGAUAUAAAAUAUUUUUGGAAUAAAUGAAAACAGUGGGGGUGUAGGAGUACUUGGGGGUGAUCACCUCCCCAAGUGGGUCCUGUACCUCCCCAUUAUUUUAAUUUAUUUCAAAAAUAUUUUACACCUCUCAACUAUUUUCUUUUAUUUCAAAAAUACCCUACACCUCCCCACUAUUCUUAAUCAUCUUUCUCUCUACAUUAAUGGAACAUUUACAUGGCUCAAAUUUCAACUUGUGAUAUAUUUUUUUAAAUAAGUUUGAUUCAAUCUUAUUUUCGUUGUUGAAUAUAUUUUUUUCUUUUCAAAUUACUUAAUAAAUGGUAAAAUUUUGUUCUAAAUUUCUAGAAAAAUGUUUAUAUAUAUGUGUGUGUAUUUUUUUACAUAUAAUAUCUAUNAUUUUUAACAUUAUAUUAUGUUUUAACUCACCGACAUGUUUGACUCAAAUAACUUGAAUAAAAUAUUUAAUUUAUUAGAUANAUAAUAUAAAAAUAUUAUUAAAUACUUAAAAUAUAAAAAGAAUUAUUUGUUAAAGAUUUAGAAUUUAUUUAGUUCUUUUGUCAUUAUAAAGUUAGUAUAUAAUAAUAAUAAUAUACCAUUAUUUAUUAUUAAUAUUAUUAUGUUUAUUAUUUUGUAUUUGCAUAUAACUUUUAAUUUUAUAAAAUGGAAAUGGUAGAAGUAUUAAUAUUGAAGUUUUCUCUAAAUUUUAUAUUUUGUAGUAUAUCACAAAUUCAAAUCUCAAUCAUGUCAAUGCUCCAUUAAUGUAGAGAGAGGAAGGAAAAGAUGGUUGAGGAUAGUGGAGAGGUGUAGGGUACUUUUGGAACAAAAGAAAAUAGUGAAGAUGUGUAAAAUAUUUUUAAAAUAAAUUAAAAUAGUGAGGAGGUGCAGGACCCACUUGAGGAGUUGGAGGGAGCAACACCUUAAAUAAAAUCAAAUAUCUAGUGUUGCUAAAAUAGGUCACCCGGUCCGGCUCACCACGGGUUGAUCAUUUAGUAAAUCAACUUAACUCGGCUCAUUAAAAUUCAAAUCCGGCCCGAACCGCCACGGGUUGGUAGGUAAACGUGUUGACUCAACGACUCACUUAAUUAUAAUUUUUUUAAAAUAAAAAAUAUUACAAAGUUUUCAUAAUUCAAAUCUAAAUAAAUUUUAUUUGAUGAACCAAAUUGACCUGCGGAUUAUGAUCUAUUUUGAAAGCUUUGCAAAUCUCUCAUCUUCUAAAAGUAUAAUACUCUAUUAAAAAAAUAUAAAUAUUAAAAUAAAAAAUCUAGGAAUUAUAUCUUUUAAAACUUGAUACUCUAUUUGCAUUAAAAAUCCAACUACAAAAGACCUAGGAAACACGCUUUUCUUUCUUGUUUUAGUUUCAUCCUUUCCUUUCCAGAUAUUCACAAACAUAUUUAGUUUUUGACGUAAUUAGUCUUUUUUUUUUCUUUUAAUUGAGAAAAUAAAUCCCUAAUUCAACGUUUAAAAAAUAAUGUCAAACCCUAGAUUUUAAAUCACAAACACGUAAUCAUACAAUUUAAAGAACUCGUUUUACCUACUCAAAUUUAACAUUUAGUUUUUAUUUAUUUAUUUAUUUCGAAGGAUUAAACAAGUUUUCUAAAAGUUGAAUGAUUUGUUUCCUAUUUAAGGUGCGUGUAUUUUUUCAAUCAGUCAUUAAAUAUUUAAAUCAAUUAAAAAUUCCUGAAAAUCAUUACUUUCAUAUUUUACAAUGUUUUAAAUAGAUUUUAUACAUUAUCAUUAAAAUACAUUUAAUCCUUUUAUAUAUAGACUAAAUUAUAUGUAAUGUAACGUGAAAUCUAUCUAAAAAUUGAAUGUAAGACAAGAAAACUUCUUCCAUUCACUUUAUUUUAAAUUAUUUGAAUUUUAUGGCUAAAUUAACCAUUUUACUUUCUUUUUUUAAUUCUAAAAGCUCAAAACUAAAAUUAUGCCAAAUUUUAAAAACUAAAAUACUUUUAUGACGCUAUUUAUUAUGUAAUUUAUUUUUAUGCAUGAAAUUUCAUAUAUGUUAAACAUAUUACAACCACUCACUCACUCACAAAUCUCAACGUACAAUCAACAAAAACUUCAUUACAUUGCGUAUGAACUCUUCUCUUACAAGUAUUUCUUUUUUCCGUCCCUCUCCUACCAAUAUAUCAUUUCUAAGAUAAAUUUUCAUCAUCUUUCACUUUAAUUUUUUUAUUCAUUAAAUAUAUAUUAUGUGUAUAUAAAAUUACGUACGACUUUCAAAAAUUUAUUAUCAAUUAUUAAACUACAUAAUUAUCAUCUUUAAAUAUUUACAAAUAUUUAUGGACUAAAUUAUAUCAUUUUAAAGAUUUUAUAUAUAUAUAUAUAAUUUGAUCGUAAUUUGAUCAAUAUUAACUUUAAACUCAUUCAAACGUUUACAAAUUUGAUAUAUUAUCAUAAAUUAAUUAUAUUUAAUACACAUUUAUUGUUAAUAACGUGAAAUCCUUCCAAUAUCUUCUAUAGGUGUUAAUAAUAAGCAUGAAAUAGAAGAAAAUCUUAGAUCUGAGCUUAAAGUUGGAAAAAUGAAAUAAGGAAUAAAAGUUAUCUUCAAUCCCACUAAUAAAAACAAAUACUGAUCCAGUAUUAAGUAUUUCAUGAUUUUAAUUUGCAUAUUAAAUGGGAUAAAAUUCAUGUAAGUUUAUUAGCGUUAGUUCUAAUAGAUUUUAUUGCUAACGUGGGAAAAAUAUUUAAAAGUGUGAGACAUGUUAAAAUUAAUAAUUUUAAAUAAAAUUAGAUCAAAGUAUUAACAAAAUAAGCCUAAUCUGUAUAUUUUAUUACUUUAAUAAAUUUUAAAAUUAUUUUUUCAAAGUAAGUAAAACAAAUGUUUAGUUAAUAAUUAUGAUUUUAGUUAUACGGUAAAUCGGGUUAAAUUUAGUAUGUCGAUCCCCUAAUCCUCUACUAAUUUAGUGGAGGGAUACGUAAUUACAGACACUGCUUUAAAGAAAGUUGAGUAUAAACAUUAUUUACUUUAUAUACAAAUUUAUGCUUUUAAUUUUCUUAAGAAUGAAAACGGAGUUAAUUCAUUUAAAAGAAAAUUUAAUUUAAACGAGAAAUGCUACAACUUCUGAAACUCCUAAUCUUUAUGCUAAAAUUUUUUAUAUAUACUAAAAUAAUAAGAACUAUUCUUAUUAGUGUCGAUUCUUGUUGAUUUUAAAUGUGUUUUGUUGGAAAGUGAUAUUAUAUUAUUAUUUAGGGUAAUGAUACUUUGAUAUUUAGAAUGUGACAAAUUUUUGACACAAUUAUGUGUUAUAUUCUAGAUGGUCCACGUGUUUUAAAAAAUAAAAUGACAAAAUGACGUGGAUUCAUUUUAAAGAAAAACAUUUCCUUCAGAAUGAACUUCGUUAUAAAUGUGUUCUUAAAUGAUAAUUAAUAAAUUUUUUAAUAAAAUUGAUUAAAAAUAAGCCGUGGAGUUCAAGUGACAGAUUUAAACAUAUUCUCCUUGUGUUAAAAAAGUUAGCCUAAACUUAAAUGAUAAUUAAUGAAUUUCUUUCAAUAAAAUUGGUUAAAAAUAAGCUGUGGAGUUCAAGUGACAGAUUUAAACAUGUUCUCCUUGUGUUAAAAAUUAGCCUAAACUAUCCACUUAUUUGUACAUUGAUACCAGGUCUGUUACUACACAUUGAAUCACGUCAUUCUGUCAUUUUAUUUUUUUUAAAUACGUGGACCACCCAGAAUGUGACACGUGUUGGUGUCAAAAAUUUGUCACAAUGUCAAGGUAUCAUUACCCUAUUAUUUAAUAUUUUUUUCCAUUUAUCAAUUUUUUCCUUGAUCAUUAGGAGGUGGAGAAAAUGUUUGGAGACAUGUAAAAUAAUAAAGUUUGAUUGUUUUUAUAUUUUUAAAGAGGAAAAUAGUUGUACAAAUAAGUUGAUUUCUUCGUGAUUAGAAAAUAAACUUGUAAUCUAAAAAAUGACUAAAUUGUUAACUACAUUUGUAUUCUAGUUACUUGAUGAAAAACAUUGCGGUGAUAAUUACAAGUAAUGAAUUUGUUUUAAGUUAAUAUUUUCAAGUUUGUUUUUCGUAAAAAAAAAAUAAAAGAAGAAAGAUGAUGACAAAUAUAACGUAAAAUAAUAUUAAAUAAAAAUAACAUAUAAAUAUCCUUUUCAAUUUAAUCAAUAUAUUACGUUUUGUUUUAUAUUAAAAAUAUUUGAAUUAGUUUCCUAGUAGCUAGUUGAUACAAAAUAACUUUUCCAUGGGCAACAAAACAACUCAAGAUUUUUUCAUCUUAAGAAAUCCAUAUCCGUGUAAAUUCUCAAGGCCAUGUUCCCAACUAUAAUGUAAUCAAAAUUUUAUUUAUUAUAACUGUUAUUAUCUUUGUGACAAAUUUAUAUUAUUUUAAUUAAUCUUUAUUUGCCUGGGAUAAAAUAAAAUAGUAAAAUAUUUAAAUUAAGAAAUAUAGGGUAUACUGGUUAAAUAAUAUAAAAUGAUUUAAUAAAAUACUUUUGCAACAUUUAGUUAAGAAAUUAAAAUUAUGUUAAAGUAAAUACAAUCCGAAGAAUUUGAAAUAAAUUAAAUAUAGAUUACUAUAGAUAAUCAAUGAGUAACGAAAUAUAAAUUAAAUAAUAUAACUCUAAAUAACUAAAAACAAUAAUAAAUGACUGAAGACAAAUAUGAACAAUAGGAAAAUAGAUAAUAUGUAACCGGACAUAAAUUAAAAUACAUAAACAAAUAAAAUAAAGGAGGUUAAAAAUAUUUAUUAAACAAUUAUCUAUACUUAUAUAUAAAAUGACAUGUUUAUUUUUUAAAUUUAUUCUUUAAAUAAAAGUUUUUUAAAAUUAAAAUAAUUUCUUUUAUUAAUUUUAAAUUUGAACAUUUUUUAAUUACAAAAAUAGAAUAUAUAAAAUCCCACGAUAUGGUAUUUUAAUAUUAAAUGGUUUUAUUAUAAAUGGUUUUGUUAUAAAAGAGUUACAUUAUUUCAACACAUAUAUCUUUCUAGAAAUCAUUUUUUUUAUAGAGUUCUUUACUUUCUCUUUCUAAGAAUUAUAAUUCUCGAGUCAUCUGUUUGACAAUCAGGAGGUGUCUAGACGAUCAUGACGUAAAGGCCUACAAAUCCAACCGAUCAAUUUUCGUUUUAGAGCAAGUAAGUUUCUACUCAUUUUUUUACCUCUUUGCUUUGGUCAAUAAUCAUGCAUAGAAAUUGUUAUCCAUGUAUCAUUUAGCUCUUUUUUCUUGUUCUUGGUGGAUUUAGAGCUCUAAGAACUUUAUCCGUUUCCAAUUACGUAACUUGUAGGUUCGUUUAGAAAUUUUUUGCAUUUCAAGCGAUCGACAGGACGUUUAUGUGGGUUAAGUUGUUAUUUUGAGGUAAAGGAAGCUAGACAUUGUCUUAAUUAUAUUUGUAGUGUAAAUUUAGUAAUUUUAUAAAUUUUAGAUGUUUUAGUAAAAAUUGGUGUGUUUUGGUAAAUUUGACGUAUGUUAAAUUGGUGUUUUGAUGAUAUGGUGUUAUUGUAAUUGGUAUGAUGAUGUGUUUGUUGUUGUAUAUCGUUUUAAUUGGGUGUGAUGAGGAUAUUUUAUGGUUCGAAACAAAAUUCAAGUGGUUGUGAGAGUAUUAAUCAAGUUACUUAAAUUUUAAGCUUAAAAGGAGAGAUUUAGGGUAGUGAAAUUUAGAAAUAGGUAUGGGAAUGUUAUGGCAUUUGUUUUGGUACUGUGAUAAGGUAAUUUAGAACUUGUUAUGAGGGUUAGAUGGUUGAGAAAACUGUGUGUAGUGAAAAAGAUAAUAUAUAAGGGUGGUUUUCAAGUGUUUUUGGUGUAAAAAGAGAGUGUUGAAUAGGGAAAUGUUGAGGUGAGUGGUCUGCAUUGUUUUGGACAGUUAAAGGUAUGUUAUCAUACCUAUUAUGACUUGUAUAGGUGCUAAAACAAGUAAAAUUUGUUAUGGAAGUGUAAAUGGCUUCGUUGGUUGAGUUUUUAGUCAAAUUUUGAGGUUUGAUAGAUGAAAUUUUGAAUAAGGGACUGGUUGGUUAAAAUAGAUGUUUGGAAAUUGUUUUGAUGUUAUUUUGGACUUGUGGGAAUUGUCAAAUCAGUAAAAAUCUGGAGUAUUAUGCAGGAGAGGGUUGUGAGGGUGGAUUUGCAUUGUUUUGGGUCUGAAUAAGGGGUAUUGAGUAGUAAAAUUCCAAGAGAGUGGGUCUAGUGUAAAAUGGUCAGUUUAGGGUCUGUUAUUGAGUCAUUUAAGACUUGUUCAUACCUUUAGUUUGUAGAGUUUUGGGUUAGAAAGUGUAGAUUUGGGUUUGGAUACUUUUGAAGUUGUCACAUGGGUUUAAUGCACCAAGUUUGGAUCUAAUGAUAAAAGUGGUACCUUUUUGUAGUUAUAAACAUGUUUUCAUAUCAAUUCUAAUGUGUAAGAAACCCUUUCGAUCAUUAGAACAAGUCUUAAGUGCAUCAAAGUCCAUGAAAAUAGUGUGUUGUCAACUGAUAUGGCAGGAAAAGGCAGUUUCUAGCGUUGAGUGCCACCAUUCCAGGGGUGCCAACAUUGAGUGGCAGUUUUCUAGCGCUGAGCGCCACCAUUCCAGUGGCUCUGGCGCUAAGCGCUACCGUAUCAGUUUUGAUUUCUUUUUCAGGUUUUGGAAAUACCAAAUUCGGUGCUUCGGGUAUUAGUUUUGGACGUUCUUUAGGUCAUUUUGGAGCUGUUGGUGAGGGGUUCAAAGUUGUUUUCCUUGCCUAAGUGAGAGUAUCAUGUUGCUAUGAAGUAAAUGGUUAUUUUGUGAUUUUUGAUGACUAAUAUGAGUGUUUCUAUUUUUUUAAUGUAUGAUCAGUGAUGUUAUAUGUUGGUAUUCAAUGUGAAAAUGUACAAACAUAUGUAUGAUUACAAAUGGUUUUCAAGGCUGGAAAAAAGAAUUCCAAGGAGGAAUAUCUUAAUUGGGGAUUCAUGUGUAUAGAUAGUAUAAUUUGCAAGAAGUCGAUAUGGGGUUAUUCUAACACUCUAAUGGUCAUCUAUGCUCAAUUAGAGAGUGAUGAGUCAUGUCGUGAGAGGAGCAGGAGGUCCUAGCCUAGGGGCCUUUUUUCAUGGUGGCAAAGGGCAUUUUAAGGACUAACCUUGUGUGACAAUUUUGAGUGAGUCAGUUGUUCCAUCACACAAGUGCAAAAGGGUUUGGCCAAGUCCGAGUUAGUGAUGUGAAUGGGAAAGAUGUUUUGGAUAUGUGUGAAUGGUGGGAGAUGUUCUACUAAUUGUGUGAUUGAAAUUGUAUGUUGAAUUUUUUUUUCAUGUUAAGCUAUUUUAUCACUAACUUACCCUUGCUUCUUUUGUUUUAUCUGUGUAUUGUUUUCUUUUUUACAAUGAUCACCUUAAUCAGUAUGAGUUUAUGAAGGAGACAUUUUUCAGUUGCUUCAGCAGUUGGUUGAGAGAGAAACAACAUGCUCUUUUGAUCUCAAAUUCCUUAUAAGUUAUUAUAUACGUUUUAUUUUAGUAGUUUUACAUCAUUAAAAUGAGAUGUUACAUAAUAAAUAAAAACCAUUUACAAUAAAAUUAUAAAAUUUAUUUAAUUUUAUAAUAAUAAUAAUAAUAAUAAUAAUAAUAAUUUACUCACAUGUAUUCACUGUGAUUUAUAAAAACAAAUAAAUAAAAUAAUAAAUGUCCAAUUCCUCCGUACCUAAUAUAACUUGAGACAUAAAAUAGAACUGAAUCAUGAAUUGAUGUAUUAUUUUCUUUCUCUCUCCCUUUUUUGUUUCUUUUCUUCUCACGCUACCCCCUUUCCUAUGUCUCUUAUGUUUACAGUCAUAAUUAGUUUAUUUUAUUUUUAUUUAGGUUUAAUUGCUUCUUUUGUUCCCAGCUUGAUUGAAGUGUGUCAAAUUCGUCUCUCUUUCGGAAAAAUGUCAAUUUCGUUUUCAUAUAGAAAAAAAUUGUAUCAAUCAAGUCAUUUCCGUUAAAUACAAAUUAAUGGUGUUAAAAACUUAAAGUGAGUUUUGAAUAAUAACCACUUCAUGGGUCCGAUUCCUGAUUUUGCAGUGGAUAAAGAGAGUUUUGAAAGCAAUGAUUUUUAACGGAGAUAACUUGAUUGACACAAUUUUUUUCUAUAUGGAGACGAGAUUAACAUUUUUUUUAAAAUGGGGACGAAUUUGACACACUCCAACCAAACUGGGGACAAAAGAAGUCAUUAAACUUUUAUUUACUUACUUACAAUUUUUCAUUCUCAUAUUUAUCUCUUCAUAUAUAUCAAUAAAUAAACUUUUUUUUUUAAAUUCUUUUUAUUAUUUCAAAAAGGUAACAGAUACGUACAUAAUUCAUAAAUAACAUAAUUUGAAUAUAUGUAUAUCUACAAAAUAAUAUAUUAUAAAAUUUUGAAGAUGUUACAUUUUAAAAUUUUAACUUUUUAUUUAACCUAAUAUCAUUGUGGCGGUAAUUGUAUAUGUAUGAAAUGUUAAUGAAUAAUAGCUAGGUGUUCAUUUGAACGUAUUGUUAGGUGAAAAUAAUAUAAUUUUGCACGAGUAUGGCGGAAUUAUGAAAUAUGUUUACAAAAUAGUAUUUAAAUUUUAUUGAUAGUAUAAAUAACGCAGAUGAAUUUAUUAAUAAGUUUAAUGUUUCAAUAAGUUUUUAUUUUUCCUUCAGAAUCUUAAAUAAAUCUUUUUCUUUUUCAGCAUCUUAAUUGAAUUUUUAUUUUUGUAAAAUUGAAUAAGUCUUCUUGUCAAAUUGAAAUGACCGUUAAGAAGGGUACGUUGAUCGUAUAGUUUUUUAUUACGUGAUGUUGAAAAUAUGACUGAAUUGUAUUUUUUCAAAAAUUCAAAAAUUAAAAAAAUACAAUUCAGUCACAUUUUCAAUACCACGUAAUAAAAACUACACGGUCAACUUAUCCUUCUUAACGGUGUCAUCUUAAUUUGACGAAAAGGUCCUAUAUGAUUUAAUUUAAAAAAAAAAUUCAAUUGAGACGCGAAAAAAAAAAGGAACUUAUUUGAAAUUUUGGACGAAAACAGGAAUAUAUUGAGACAUUAAAUCUUAUUAAUAUAAAAAAGUGACGAAGAUUUAUUUUAUCCGAUUGGAUGAAGAAAAUAUCGAGAAGCUGAUUUAUGUAUUUUUGUCACAUAAGUUGAAUGGUAAACAAUGUAACGACCUGAUAUAUUGUGGAAUGUGAGUUUUUGAAAUUUAGUCACAGUGAUGUGGAUUUUAGACAGAUACAAAUAUAUAUGAAAUAAUUUACUAAAUCAUUUUGAAAGUUCGUUUUCGUAUUUACUAUUAAAAUUAACUUAUUCGAUUUUCUUACUGUAUUACUUUACUAUUUUAUGAUUGUUACCUAAUUGUAAUGAUCUUAUCUCAGCAUACAUGAAACUGCAUUACUUUAUCUAACUUAUCUAAAUGUAUCAAGUAUGAAUAUGAAUUAUGCAAUCCUUACACAUCUCCAAGCACCAUUAUCUUAAGAUGUUAUUUUCUUUUUACCUGUGUAAGAUAAUUUGUUUUUAAAUUAUUAAAAAAAGUUAUAUAUAUUUUUAUUUUUUAAAAUAAAAUUAAAAUUUCAUAUAUUUCAAAAUUUGAUAUAUUUUAAUACUAAAAUUUAAAAAAUAAAUUAAUGUUGUCAUUUUAACUUAAUAACAUAAUUUUUGUGCGUAUUAAAUGAUAUUUUAAAUUGACAUUGCACUAAAAUGUGUUAAAUGUUAAAUGUCUUAAAAUAGAAUUUAUGUGAAAAAACUCUAAUGUAGUUUAGUUAAAUAUAUUUAUUCGUUUUUAAGUUUGAAAAUCAAAUUGUAUAUAAGUUUCUAACAUGGACUAAAAAUAUACUAAACCCUUAUAAAAAUGGUACAACUUUUUAAAAAAAUUUGAAAUUGAGUAAAUCAUGUCACGUUGAAACAAUUUCAAAUAAAAUAUAACAAAAUAGUUUGAAACUCAUACAACUAUUUUCCUUUUGGAAUCAUGUCAACAUGAUAAUAUCUUAUCCAACUUUAUUAUUAUUAUUUUAAAUUACACAAUUUUAAUAGUUUUAAAAGUAAAUCAUUUCAUAUUAGAAAAUAUUAGGAAAAAUGUGUGGGAGUUACUCCCUGCACCUCCACACACUACUUUUCUCACCCUUCCAUUCUUUUUUACCCUUUUAGUAAUAUUUAAAAACGGAUGUUAAUAUUUGUUAACGAGAUCCGUCGGAUGUGGAUAUCCGUUUACGCAUGUUCAUAUUUGUUUAAGAAAAUCCUUAUUCGAAAGAAAUUGAUGCUUCCUAUCAACUCCUUGCUUUUUUCCCCUAAUCCUGAGAAACAUUACACACCAAAUUUAUAAAGAACUCACGAGUGUCAAGAGAACUUCUUGAAAAAGGUUAAAAAAAUUUCUUUGAAAACAAAAGUUGUUGGUUAAAAAAAUUGGUGUCAAACAAUUGUUGUCUGCAAGCUUCAAUGGCUGCAAACAUAAUAAAAACAACAAAACCCAGAAACCAAAAAACUUUUAGUAAACAAACCCAUAAAAUAAAGGAGGAAAAUUUAUAAUCUUCUAGAAAACAACGAAAGGAUAUGAUUGGUUUGUUUGUUGGGUCACCUUGAGUAACUAGCUCGAAGGAAAGAGGAAGCUCUUUGCAGAACAGCUGAAUCUUACGACGUUUUUCUUCCAAUGCCUGAGAAGAAACGAAUUUAGAAAUGAGAGUGGAACAAAUGAAUCUGUGGGAGGGUUGCGGAGGUUUAUAAAAUAUGGUUAAAGUAAAAAAAAGGACAUUUUUGUAAUUAAAAAUUUUUGGAGAAAUUUGGGGAGGUGGAGGGAGCGUUUGUGGGGGUGGAGAGAGCAACGUCCAAAAUGUGUUAGGCUCGACGGGCCAACCCAUCAACCCAUUUAAAAAAGUUGGAUUGGAUUAAAGUUGGUGUUGUAAACCCGAUUUAAUCUGGUCCACCUAUUUUGUUAACUUGUCGGACCACUAGUCAAACUAGAAUCAUCCACGAUUUGUUUUGUUAAAAAAAAUUUAGAACAUCAUGUGCUUACUGGCUACAUAGACCGCAAAGGCUCUCUCACCUUUCUCAUUUUAUUUUCAUUUCUUAUACUUGGAUACUUAAUUCACUUAUUUCGUAUCCUCUCUCAAUUCAAUUUUUGUUUUUGUGAGAGGUGAAGUUUAAGUCUAACUCAACCUCAUAAAACUAGCUCCAGUUUGUAAGGUGAGGUUUGCAUCCAUUUAUAUACACUUAAUUGGUCUUAUCUCUAGUCGAUGUGAAACUUCAAACAAUUUCUUUUCAUACUGUCAUCAUUUUUCAUCUCGCAUUCAUUGACUAACACUCACUUUCACUACAUCAUAAAUGAACAACUCUAUAAUGCGAGCCACCACUAUUAGUUAGACGUCAAACACAAUAAGAAGGAGAACUAAAGUCAUUCAGAGUUAGAUGCGAGCCACAGUCACAAACAAGUUGAUUUAUUUAACCCUCUAUUUCAUAAAUUUUUUUCAUAAUUUCAAAUAUUUUUUCCUUUGUGAUUUUGCCUUGAUUUCAAGCAUUUUGUUUGUGUCAUGAAAAUUUAAUAUUGUGUUGAGACAUUUUUAAUUUGUUGCUUUUGACAUGUUUUUUUUUAAUGUUUUUAUGAAUUGUAAUUUUGUAAUAGGAAUUUUUAUUAUUGUAUACGAGUGAAUUGUAACGUGAACUUUGAAUUGGAUUUGUAUUCAUCUUGUGAUAAUGUUAUUGUGUUACCAAAUAGGAUUUGAAUUCAUUUUAAUUUGGCUAAGAUUUAGUAAAUUAUUGUUCUGAAUUUGGCUAAGAUUUUUUUAAUGCAUUAGAUGAUGGUUGACAAGUCAAUUUUUGAAUGUUUAAUUUCAAUUAAUUUAAACACUAGAUCGUGAAGGAAUUUGAGUCUUCACAUACAACAAAGAAAAACUUAAAUUGGACUUCAGCUAUCAAAUCAUUAAAAAAAUAUAUAUAUAUCAAACCAACCUGCCAAUCCGGUCCUCCAUUAUGCGGACCGGAUUCUAAGUUUUAACCCAUUAUUAAGACAAACCUAACCUCAAAGAGAUUAAAAAAAAACCGAUCUUAUGAACUAUAAUCGCGACCCAUAAAAAGGAAGGGUUCAUAUGACACGAUCCCAAGGUUAUGGUUCCGGAGAGUCCAUGUCUCUCUGUAUAGACCGACAUUUAUUUAUUGGGAAUGCACAUGAAUUUGAAUAAAAUGUUGUGGGUCCGACCGAGUUUGGUAUAUAAACCGUGUUUAAAGGCGCUACUCAAUCCCUG